rnacentral:lncRNA from 1 species
UGGUUGCAAUGGCUCUGCUUCUUCAGGCCAUGGUGCCCCCGACAGCAUUAGCUGCUCGUAACAAUGUCAUGGAAUACAAUCCAUUGGCAAGCGUAUUCUCGAGGGAAGGCCCUGGCUGCAUCGCAAAAGGCGGGUUUUGCUUGUUUGACCUAACCAGUUGCUGUAGGCCUUGCGGAUGCCUUGCAGGGUGGUGCUAUAACAUUGAUCAUGAUUGCAAUGAGUACACAUAAUGGUCGCUACUAAGUUAAAAAAAAAAAAAAACAGCUCUGAGUCAAAAAAUGACACGGGAUUCGAUUAUAAAUGUUCUAUAUAUAACAUAUGUAUUUGAAUAAAGAAUAUCGUGUUAUGUCCCUGUUUAGUUGAGCUGUGCCAUUGCUGUAAGAGUUGGUGUUUUCCGUCUUCUCGUUGGUGUGUUGGUACUGUGUGUACCCUUGUUAGUGGCAUGUCUAAGAAUAAAUAUAUAUGUCAAUGAACUAAGUUUUAUCUGCCUUUUUUAUCUAAUUCAUGGACGGAUCACAUUUUAUAAAUUGAGCGAGGAGAUGUUAUUGUCGAGACUUGAAUCCUGGACUUUAAAUAUUAACACAUAGCUCUUAACUACUUGCUCAAUUACGGUAAAUAUCAUUAAUAAAUACUAAUAUCAACACGGAUUUUGCCAACCACCACAGUUGGGUUGGGUGAAAAUCAAUAUGGAUGGAACGGUUGGGCGAAUGACUGAUAUAGCGGCAGCAGCAGAAGUCAUCAGAGAUCAUAAUGUGAAGUGGCUGUGAGGCUGUUAUAGCAAUUUUGGUUCGUGUUCUGUGCUUCAUGCUGAGUUAUGGAGUGCUUGGAAGGGUUUCUUUCUGGCAUUGAAUUGCGGGUUUCGCAGGGUGGUUUUAGAAAUGGAUAAUGUAAAAAUAUUAUGUUCUCAGGAGAAUAAGGAAUACACCGGUUAGCCAUGGGAAGUGAAGAUACAGCAUGCUGUUGGUGAGGGUAAUUUUAUUCCAGAGGGUCUUGUAAACCUGCGGCUGAAUUCGAAUCCAGAAACAUAUGAACUUAUCAGUCCACUAGACGAGAUCUUGAGAGAAUUACAUGAUGAAGCAUGCCAAAUUGGGUAUGGCAGGGUGUCUUAGUUGUAACUUUGUAUAGCUUUUUAUUUUACUCAGAAAUUAAAAAAUAAUAUAAAUUCAAGUAACUAAAUAAUAUUGCUUAAAGUGGUAUGAACAAUGGAAUAUUGGGGAAUUAUUAUACUUCUUUUUUUUUUUGAAUUAUAUUUUAAAUUCAUAUAUGUUUGUGGCGUCAAUUGUUUAUAUAAAAAGGACUGAUGUAAUUAUGCUGUCACUUUCAUUAUUGAGAUUAUCAAUUUAGUUCGUUAGUUGACAUAUAUGAUUAUUAGUAACGUUAGCUUUUGAAAAAUAAUAUAAAGUUAGCAAGCUUUAUGUUAUCUUAUCAACUAUAAUAUAUAUAUAUCAUCUUGGUUUAGGGAUGCCAACAUGAUAGGGUGAGAUGGAUUUUUGCUUGUCCGACUCGAAUCUUGAUGAAUCCGUCUCGACCCCGAUUAUUAAAUAAUAAUAAAAAAGCCCCAAACUCAAAAUUUAAUAGGAGAUUCACUUUCGGUCCAACUUAAAUUUUAUUUAAUUGUUUUAUUUUUUUUAAAGAUUAAUUAUUUUAAGUUUAGACUUAAAAUUUAGUAUAUACAUAAUUACAUAUGAGUGACAUUUUUGUAAAUAUUUAAGAAUGGAUUGAGCGGAUUUACCUCAAACCCAAUCCCAACCUACUAUUUUUCUAAAUUCAUCCAAUUUAUUUUAAACUCGUUUUUUCAAAAAAGAUUCCUACCUUAAUAAAUCAAGUCGGAUCAAAACUGUAGGAUACGGAAAUUUUUUACAUCCCUAAUAAACCCAGUGACUUGUUUUAGUGCGGGGAUUUGUUUUGUGUACACACCUCAUCCAUCCCGAGUCUGCAAUCCGCAGGGGGAAUUUUAGAUCCUGUUACUAAUUAGGGCUUUAUCAGAAAAAUAAGGUCAUUGAAUCCUUAUUCUUAAACACUUGUUCAUUUCGUGCCAACCAAAUCGACGACACAACAGGUCAGCCACCAAUGCCUUGAGGUACCAAACACGUUUCACCAAGUUACACGAAAAUAAUACAUGAUUGGUCUCCUUGCCACACCAAUUACACAUACUUUGAUUGAGAUCAAAAUGUAUACCUCUCUUCAUUAAGAAUUCCUUAGUGGGGAUCCUAUUAAGCCGCACUAACCAUAAGAAACCUUUUUUAGGUGAACUUUCAGCUUAGCAUAGAUUUGAAUUUAUUGAAAUGCUUGGAGCAGAAGUCCAUUUAUUGUUGUUACAGUAUGCUUUUUUUUGUGCAAAGCUUGCUUUCGGAUUGCAAAGAAAAUCAAUUGGAUUUUGAUAGGAAGCUUUACCUUUAUUUUUGCAAUUCCACGUUUAUGGAUUUGAAUUUAAUGGUAAAAGUACUAGGAAUGUCCUUAUAUUUAUGGGUAGACUGCAUUUUAGCUCUUUUAUUGAAAAAAUAAGUAAAUUAGUCUUUAUACAUUUUGAAACAUGCAGAUUCAUUUAUCCAUUAAAUUUUAUCUAUUAAAUUAUUACGUGGAACGUUAAUUUAAAUGGUUGAUUUAAAUGGUUGAAUUUUAUCUAUUAAAUUAUGACGUGGAAUGUUAAUUUAAAUGGUUGAUUACUAAUUUAAUCUCUGAACUAUAGCUAAAAUAUCAAUUUUUUAAAAAAUUCUUAACAAUAAUUCUAAAAAAUUAAAAAUUCUUAAAAAUAAUAUAACUUAUUAAAAACUAUGUUAAAAUAUUUUAAAAAAUAAAAAUAUAAAUAAAAAAUUCUAGAAAAAAAACCUAUAUGUAAAUUUUUUAAAAAAAAAAUUAUCAAACUUUCGAGUCGAAACCUAGAAACCAUCAUAUUUUUUUACAAGACUUUCUUCCCCAUUGUAAAAAACCCAAAAAAUCAAAAAGAUUUCUCAUGCUUGAUUGAAGUCAUAAAUAAAUAAAUAAAAGGGUAAACUACACCCAUGGUCACUUUUGUUUACCUUAAGUUAUAUUUUAGUCACUUAUGUUUGAAAUGUUACAUUUUAGUCACUUAUGUUAUCGUGUUGUAACAUUUUAGUCACUGAGCUAUUAAUUGUCGCUAACAGUGUAACAGUAAGUUGACGUGACACGUUAAAUCAUAAUUUUAAACAAAAAUUUAGGGUAAAUUAUACAAUCGAUCAUCACAUUUUUUUUCGUUUUGAGCAAUUUAAUUUUUUUUAUGUUCUUUAAAUUUUUCAUUCUUUAUUUUCCAUUAUCUUAUGUUUCUCCCUCUAUUUUCUUUCCUUCUCCAUUUAUUUUAACAUAUCAAGAAGUCGAAUUGAUAGUGAAGAAAUAAAUAGGAAGUCGAAAACCAUCAUUGCCUAUAACCAAAACCAAUAAACCCAUACCAUGCUUUUUUCUUUACUGCCAAUUAUUCGACUUCCUAAUAUGUUGAAAGAAAUGGAGAAGGUAGGAAAAUAGAGGGAGAAGCAGAAGAGAAUGGAAAAUAAUGAAAAAAAAGUUAAAAGAACAUAAAAAAUUAAAUUGCUCAAAAUGAAAAAAUAUCGGCACCAAUUGUAUAAUUUAACCUAAUUUUUUAUUUGAAAUGAUGAUUUAAUGCGCCACAUUAGCUUACUGUUAUACCGUUAAUGAUAAUUAACGGCUCAGUGACUAAAAUGUUACAAUACGAUAACAUAAGUGACUGAAACAUAACAUUUCAAAUAUAAGUAACUAAAACGUAAGCUGAUGUAAACAAAAGCGACCAUGGGUAUAAUUUAACCUAAAUAAAAACUUGAUUGAACCCAAGAAAAAUUAACUAAAAGUUUUGACUACUCAUUUUCAAAUUUCUCAUACUUUCAUAAAUAUUCAUUUAAUCUUCAUCACCUAUCCUUCCAACUAAAAUGUAUAUAAAAAUUUAUUUAAUGUUUACUUUCUUCUACUUUAGUGAAUACGCAUUUUUGUAUCUCCUGUGUUUUCAUAUCUCCUAAUGAUGUGUAAUCAUGUUAUAAAAUUUCGAUUACUCAUUUUCACAUUCCCUUAGUUAUUACAAACUUUCCUAUUUGAAAAAUCUUAUUGUUUAAUACCCUAGAAGCUUUAAUCAUUAAUUUACUGGGUUUAAUAAUAUUUGGUUUUGAAUUUUUAAUAUAAAUGUGUGGGUUUUAUCUUUAAGUUUUAAUCUUGUUCGAAAAUUAGCAAAAAUAAAUACAUUAAAAGCAAAAAUUUAACUUGCUAUCACACCCCGAACCUAAACCUAGAAUUUAAUAGAAGACCCAACUCUGAACCGAUCCAACUCGACUAUUUUUCCAAUUUCACCCGAUGUGACCUACAAAACCGAUCAAGUUCACCAGGACGAAUACAAGGGGCAAGUAGUGCCCAAAAAAUAUAUAUAUAUAUAUAUAUAUAUAUAUCAUUUAGACCUUUAACAUUUAGGAAAUUCUAAAUUCAUAUAAUGAGAAAAUACAUUUUAACAUUUUAAUCUCAAAUAUUUAUGAUUCAUCUUUAUAUCGUUAAAGUAUCUUUCUGGGUUCACCCUUAUUUCUCCAACCAUUCAUACUGCUUAGUAACAACAUAUAAACGUAACAAAUUAUUUAUCUCUCCCGUCAGUACUACAUGCACAUAAGUGCAUUCACUAUUCCAUGCAAUAUCUCAUAUGUCACAUGCAUUACGAACCUGGACCAUCAUCUUUUCUAUAUAAAGGACCCUCCACCUAAUCAUGGAAUCCUUCAAGAAGAUCGUUUUUCUCAUCGUUGCUAUAUCUCUAGUUCUUCAAGCCACGGUGCCUCCAAACUGCGUUAGCCGCUCGUAACGAGGUUAUGUCCUCUGCUGCUGUAUCGAAAGUGGCUAACGAUUCCAACGGUUUGGCUAAGGUUUUCGAGAAGGUAGGCUCUGGCUGCAAACCUAAAGGUUCGUUUUUCUUGUUUGACCUAACCAGUUGUUGUAGGCCUUGCGGAUGCCUUGCAGGGAGGUGCGAUAUCAUUGAUCAUGAUUGCAAUGAGUACACAUAAUGGUCGUUACUGAGUCAAAAAAAAAAAAACAGCUCUGAGUCAAAAAAACGACAUGGGAUUCGAUUAUAAAUGUUCCAUAUAUAACAUAUGUAUUUGAAUAAAGAAUCUCGUGUUAUGUCCCUGUUUGGUUGUGUUGUGCCAUUGUUGUAAGAGUUGGUGUUUUCCGUCUUCUCAUUGGUGUGUUUGUAGCAUUUUUCUCAAAAACAAAUUAAGUGCCUUUCACAAUUUUAAAUAUAAAAUAUUUAUUUUAUUUAUAAAAAAUUAAAAUUAAUUAUUCGAUUCGAUUCUGUGUUUUAACUUGAAAGCCAAAACGAGUGAGUAGUAGCCUACUAGAGUAGAAUCAAAUUAGCAAAUCGACACAAGUUUAUACGUGGUUCCUUUUGAACCGCUUCGAAAUCAGCUCCAAAAAACUGCUAGAGUCUCGAGAAACUUAAAAACCUCAAAAAAGAAGAAAAAUUAUAGAGCUGAAAAGCACAAAAAAUGCACCGUUUCAGAGGCAGGUGAGCUGAAAAACCAGCAGCUGAAAGGGACAAACCCGUCACGUGCAGCUCUCCAAUAGCAGGUCAUGGAGUUCAGUUAAGAAAAACCACAGCAGGCAUAAGCAGCACAGAACCAGACCCAAACAGCUCAAAAAACAGAGUUGAAACAGUUGAUUAGACCCAAACCAGCUGGAAUCAGUAGCAUCGUUUUCUAUAUAAAGGGCCUCCUCCACCUACAAACCAUUCCACACACAAAACAUAAUCAUGGAGUGGUGCAAGAAGUUCGCUUUUCUGAUGGCUGCAUCGCAAAAGGCGGGUUUUGCUUGUUUGACCUAACCAGUUGCUGUAGGCCUUGCGGAUGCCUUGCAGGGUGAUGCUAUAACAUUGAUCAUGAUUGCAAUGAGUACACAGAAUGGUCGCUAGUGAGUUAAAAAAAAAACAGCUUUGAGUCAAAAAAUGACAUGGGAUUCGAUUAUGAAUGUUCUAUAUAUAACAUAUGUAUUUGAAUAAAGAAUCUCGUAUUAUGUCCCUGUUUAGUUGAGCUGUGCCAUUGUUGUAAGAGUUGGUGUUUUCCGUCUUCUCGUUGGUGUGUUGGUACUGUGUGUACCCUUGUUAUUGGCAUGUCUAAGAAUAAAUAUAUAUGUCAAUGAACUAAGUUUUAUCUGCCUUUUUUAUCUAAUUCAUGGACGGAUCACAUUUUAUAAAUUGAGCGAGGAGAUGUUAUUGUCGAGACUUGAAUCCUGGACUUUAAAUAUUAACACACAGCUCUUAACUACUUGCUCAAUUACGGUAAAUAUCAUUAAUAAAUACUAAUAUCAACACGGAUGUUGGCAAUCACCACAGUUGGGUUGGGUGAAAAUCAAUAUGGAUGGAACGGUUGGGCGAAUGACUGAUAUAGCGGCAGCAGGAGGAGUCAUCAGAGAUCAUAAUGUGAAGUGGCUGUGAGGCUGUUAUAGCAAUCUUGAUUCGUGUUCUGUGCUUCAUGCUGAGUUAUGGCGUGCUUGGAAGGGUUUCUUUCUGGCAUUGAAUUGCGAGUUUCGCAGGGUGGUUUUAGAAAUUGAUGAUGUAAAAAUAUUGUGUUCUCAGGAGAAAGCAGAGCACAAUGCUAUAGUCAGGAGAAUAAGGAAUUUACCGGUUAGCCAUGGGAAGUGAAGAUACAGCAUGUUGUUGGUGAGGGUAAUUUUAUUCCAGAUGGUCUUUAAAACCUGGGGCGGCUGAAUUCGAAUCCAGAAACAUAUGAAUUACAUGAUGAAGCAUGCCAAAUUGGGUAUGGUAGGUGUCUACAGAAAAAAUGGUAAAUUAAUAUCUAUACAUUUCGGAACGUGUAAAUUAAUUCCCCAUUAAAUUUUAUUUAUUAAAUGAUAUAUGAAAUAUUAAUUUAAAUGGUUGAUUCCUAAUUCUUUUCUUAUUGUAAAAAAUUUAAAAAAUCAAAAUUAAUUCUCAUGCUUGAUUGAAAUCAUAAAUAAAUAAAUAAAAACUUGAUUGAACCUAAGAAAAAUUAACUAAAAAUUUUGAUUUCUCACUCUCAAAUUUCUCAUACUUUUGUAAAUGUUCAUUUAAUCUUCAUCGCUUAUACUUCCAGCUAAAAGGUAUAAAAAUUUUUAUUUAAUGUUUACUUUUUUCUAUUUUAGUGAAUGCUCAUUUUUACAUCUCUUAUGCUUUCAUAUCUACUUUUGAUUACUCAUUUUCACAUCCCCUUAAAUAUUACAAAUUUUCCUAUUUGAAAAUCUUAUUUUUUUAAUACCCUAGAAGCUUUAAUUUUAAGUUACUGGGUUUUAAAUUUUUAAUAUAAAUGUAUGGAUUUUGAACAAUUUGAAAUUUUUGAAAAUAAAAUAUAAAAAGUGAAAUUUUAAUUUAAAAUAAAAUUCCAUUGCGAUAAAUAUGUCUCCAAAGGUGGAGAAGGAGUGAAAAGAGUUCUUUGUCUUCAUCUUAUUCUUCUUUGUCAAAAAGAUAUGCAAAAUUGGAAGAUUUUGUUUUCUGUAAAUGUGUUAUUUUUUUAGUUUGAUUGUAUUUCAACAUUAAUAAAAUUAUUAUUUUAUUAGAAUGGGUGUUUUUAGAAUUGCACUGGACAGCAUCUUCAACAGAUAAUAUUAGUGUCUCGUUGUAUUAGAUAGUUCUACUUCUCAUCAAAUUAAUCAAGAAUUUUAUUGAAAAUGAAAAUGUUUCCCUAGUAUUAAAAUAGAGUCCAAUUUUUCAAAAAAAUAAAAAAUAAAAACACCAUAAUUCACCAAAAAAAACUUUUUUGAAUGUAAGUUUUUGCAUUAAUAAAUUUGGGUUUGAUUUUAUUUUAACAUUUUUUUAAUAUUUUUAAUAUAUUUUGAUAAUUUUUAUUUAUUUUUAAAUUUUUAGAGCUAUUAUUUAAAAAAAUUAAAAAUCAAAAUGAUACCUUAACUAUAUUUCUAGAACCAUAAUUAAUCAUUUAAAUUAACAGUCUAAAUCAUAUUUUUUCAAUAGAAUAGCGGAAAUGCAAUCCACUACUUUUAUCAAAUUUAUUACCUAUUAAGAUUCAUUUUUAUUUUAAUCUUCAGCUGCACACGAAGGGAUCUAUUAAAAUAAUGUUAUCCCACUUAUUCUAAAUUUUAAAUUUCACGUAAUCUUAUGAUUUUAUAAGUUGUAUGAUUUAACCUAGACUACAAAGAAAAGAGAGAAAUCCAAUCACUAUGCCAUGCAAGUCACGUAAUUUGUCAUGCAAUCCACAUGCUUAUAUAUGCUUUUUUUUUUCUUUUAAUUUUUUGCUAAGCCACUAAUAUAUGUUCAGUAUUUCUAUUUAAAGCACCUCCAUUUAUACAUUUCCAUCAAAUUUAUGAUCAGAUUUAACACUAAGAAAUGGAGUACUAUAAGAAGCUUGCUUUGGUGUUGGCGAUGAUGGUUGUGGCAGCCACCACAACGGCAACCGCGGCUCGCAACGAGCUGACGGAAACUCUUUCUAUCAAAGCAAGUUUGAACUCGAGCUUGACUAACAUCAUCAAGAAACCCUUGGGCAAUAUUUUCGACGUUAAUGGCGAACCUGUAGUGGAAUGCAACCCAGAUGAUCAAAACUGCAUUAAAAAAUAUGGAUUUUGCUUGUUUCAGAACAAGAUUUGCUGUGAUAACUGCACGUGCUUCGGGUUGUGCGUGCUUUGCGGACAAAAAUAAAGACAGUGACUGACUGAUCAGGAAGGGAUAUCAGGAAUCAAUGUUUUAUUGUUUUUCUUUUUAUACCUAACUAUGGUGCUUGCUGGUACUGUUUUCAUGUUUUGUUGAUGUUUGCGUACUUAAUUAUUAAAUUAUCAAUAAGAUCGCAUUUAUUAAAACUGAAGUAUUUUUCCUCAGCUAUAUAUAUAUUUGCUGGGAGAAGGCUUAGUCCGGAACCUCAAUGGGUCGGUAUGAUCUCAAGUCAAGGUUUUUUUUUUUUUUUUAUUCUGCAAAAAGCUUAAGUGUUUAAGGCAUUAGAUUCAUAGAAUCUUAUCGAGAUGAAACGAUAUAUAGCGCACAGUUACCUAUCAAAGAGAUAUAUAAGCAUGAUAUUUUUAUUUAAGUUUAACUAUAUAUUAUAUAAAUAUUAACAUUACAAGGCCAUAUCCAAUGUUAUCCUAUUUAAAUCAAAAUCAUUUUAUUGAAAAAUAUGAAAUAAUUGAGAUAUGUGUUGAAACACUGACCGGUUUAUUUCUAUAUUUGUGAUAUUGAUAAUUUAUUGAAUCAGAUUUUUAGACUAUGCUAAUAUUGUGGAUCGUAUCUAGUGCAUCAAUGACGAUCAUAUCAUUUGGGGAAACAUAUUUGGAGAAUCGGAUCGGAUUUAAUUUAUCUAAUCCCUUAUAUUAAGGAAAUCAGAUUGAAAUGUUAAAGACUUAAGUUCUAAUAGUCAUUGUUUACCUUUUUUAUUAUUAUUCUAUUGUAUUCAACUAGUUUAGUUAUUAUUUAAUAAGGAUUGAUAUAGAUCUUUAUUAUAUUAAUAAGUCUCGAUAAACUUUAUAUAUUUGAGAGACUUGUAUAGGUCAUUGUAAUGAUUAUUGAGAGCACUUAAUCUCUUGAAGUGAGGAACAUACUUUUUGUGUGAAUGCAUUACAUUGUAACACAUUAGUGUUGUAGGUUUACAAGCUAAGUUCACAUAUGUGAACGAGUGUAUCAGUUUUAAAGGUACAAAAGUAAUAAAAUUUUAAUAGUCUAUAUAUUUAUAAUUUUUAAAGGGCUAAAUUAAUUUUUUAUCAUUUUAGAAAGUCAAAAUGUAAUUUUACCAUUACUAAUUUAUAAAUUAUAAAGAGCCCAAAUUAAAAUUUUACCAUUUUAGAGGUAACCAUAACCCCUGGGUCUCCACUUCACUUCGACACUGAUGUCACAUCUCUUAAAAACAUAGCAAAUAAUAUGUUAUUAUUGAUAAUAUUUAUCAUUGCAACAUCGACAAUACAUGACCACAGUAAGAAGGGCAAAUACCAAGUCUUUUUACGACCAACAAAAGGCAAUUAACAUUUACCGCUUUUGAAAUAAGUAAUUAGAUUAUUAAACCAGACAUGAAACACAAUAAAUAUCAUUAUUUAGCUGUAAAAACCAUUUGAUUAAUGAGACACCCCCUUCAUCAUUUUUUCUUAUACAAUAUAAACAAUUACAUUAUACGGGGAUGCAUAGUCCGAAGCAUGUGCAAUUACUACAACAUUCCUUUUUCGCAAACAAGCAAAACUCAUACUUAGGGAUGCAAUUCGCAUCAGGUUUUCCUUUAACGUCGAAAAUGUUGGCCAAAGCGGUGGUUGAGCUUGAGUCGACGAGGAGAGCCACUGCCUCUUUGCGAGCGGCGGUUGCCAUUGGAGGCAGGGUCGUUGCUAGGACCACUGCCAUCGUAACCAAGACGAAUCCAAAUUUCUUCCACGAUUCCAUCUUUAAUUGUAUGUGUAAAUUGAUAGAAACGGGGUUGCUUUAUAUAGAAAUGCCCAAAAUAUUUUAGUGGCUUACCAAAUAAAAAUAAAAAUCAUAUGGAUUGCAUGACAAAUUACGUGACUUGCAUGGCUGACAAGCGAAUGGAAAUUUUGAUACACAUCCAUCAUUUCUCUCUCUCUCUUGUUUUUCAUAGUUAUUCUUAAACAUCUAACUUAAAAUUUUUAAAAGAUUAAAAUAAAAUCUAGGUGCUUGUACUUUUUGCAUAUUCAAAAUUUAAUCCAUUUUACUUUUCAAAUUUAAAAAAUGUAAAUACAAUUGUUGACACAGUUAAAAUUCUUCUAUUAAAUUCAAGUUCAUUACAAAAUCAUUUUUUUGUUACAUGGCUACUAAAUGAGUAUUACUUUUAUUUCAAAAUGUCAUUCUAGAAAAUUUAAUAGAAGAAUGUUAACAGUGUUAACAAUUAGAUAUGAAUUUUAAAAUUUGAAAAGUAGAAUGGCUAGAUUCUUAGAAAAUAAAAGUAGGUGGACUAAAUUCCAAAUAUAUGAAAAGCACGAGGACUUGCAGUAUAUUUUAACCUAUCUAAAAUUAAUUGACAAUAUGUGAAUAUAUAAAUGUAAAUAAGACAUUAGUUCAAUUUGAAAGAAAAAAUCUUAAAUAUAAGGGUAAAUUACAUCCAAACUCACUAAAUUAUUAGUAAGUUCACAUUUUGGUCAUUCAACUUCAAAAAGUUACAAAACGGCCACUAAACUAUUCGAAAGUUUUUAUUCAAGUGAUCAUUGCUUGUCAGUUUUUUUUUAAAGUUUAGCUAGUGACCACCAAGCAACAAUUCCACGAUCAGUACAGUGGAUCAGUACUCAUCAAUGGGUAGAAGAACAUAUCUUAAAUCUAAGUGGAUUUGAUGAUCAGUGUCAAAAAUCUUGUAACAGCCCGAUUUUAGGCCUAGUCGGAACAGUGGUUUCGGGACCACUAUUUCGAGGCUAGAGAAAAUUAUUUUAGUAUUACUUUAUGUGUUAUAAUAUGAUUUUAUAAGUGCAUGUUAAUUUUGGUAUAUUAAUUUUAGCGAUUUCUAGUCCAAUUUCGAAAAAGGACUAAAUCGCGUAAAAAGUAAAAGUUGUGUUUUAAUACCUAAAGGUGUUAAAUUGCCUUGUAUCUUAAAUUAGGGGUCUUUAAACUGAAAUUAGGCCAUUGAAAGUGUGAUGGCCGGCCAUGGGAGACAAAAUAGUUGAAAAGUUAAAAUUAGACAAAAUAGUUUUAUUAUUAACAAAUAAAAAAAAAGCUAUCAUUUUUCUCUUCCCCUUCACUGAAAUAUGCAGCAAAGAAAGGGUUUUGAAGCUGGAAAAUUUCAGCAACAUAUUUCCCUUGCUUGUAAGUGAUUUUAAUGUCUUUGCUUGAUGAUUUUUGUAUUUUUGGAACCCCUAAAGCAUAAGCUUUCAUAUGAGGGGACUUUUGUGCAAGAUGAUAAAGAGUCUAGGGUUUUGCCAUGAAUAUAUAUGUGUUGUUUGCUAUGUUUUUAUGGAAGAUUAUAAGUCCUAGUUGUCUAAUAAACAACUUUUGUGAAAGAAAUUGCAUGAAAAUACUUUAAAAAGGGCUAAAUUGCUAAGUUGUAAAAUGAGUUGUAAAUGUGUAAAAUAGUUGAAAUUAUGAGUUGCUAUAGUUAUGAAAAUGUUUCAUCUAGACUCAAGGAGUAAAUAAAUGUGAUAAAAAUUAAUUUACGAGCAUUGGGGCAAAAGUGCAAAUAUGCAAAAGUUUAGGGGUCAAAAUGAAAAUUUGUAAAAAUAUGAUUUUUAGACCCAUAUGAAUAUUGUGACUGAUUGGUAGGCUAAAUGUGAUGUUAUAGAUGAUGAAAAUUGAGAUUUGGACCUAGAACGGAAAGAAAUCGAUUUAUGGACGAGUAUGUCUUUUCACCUUUGUGGUAUCGAGGUAAGUUCAUGUGUAAAUAAGGUAGCAUAAUUGUUAUUUUUAAGUUAUUGAUGUUAAAUAUAUGAUGUGCUGAUUUUUAUCAUGAAAUAUAUGCUUUGUGGUUAUUUUCGAAUAAAAUGCAAAUUAAGUGUAUUAUUUGUUAAAUAUAAAGUGCUACCGAGUAUUAGUUUCGGUAUUUUACGGAAGAUGACAAAGAGAUGUGUUCGAGGACAAUCCCGUUUGAACCUUAGGAAUAGAUUAGGAUACAAGUGACAUGUCACUAGGAUGGUUGAGCAUCCGAACUCGUUGAGUUGAGUCCGAGUUCACUUAUGGAUGAGAAUGUUCGAGCUCAUUGAGUUGAGUCCGAGUUCGUGAGAUGUAACUAGGCAUCCGAGCUUGUUGAGUUGAGUCCGAGUUCACUUAUGGAUGUGAACGCCCGAGCUCAUUGAGUUGAGUCCGAGUUCACUUAUGGGCGGGUUACAUGGUAGCUUGGCUACAUAUGUGGCACUUAUGUGCAAACUUUCCAUGUAUCCGAAUUAUAUUCCGAUGUGUUCAAUGGGUAAAAUUCUACUCAAAUGGAGGAAUACUCGAGAUGAAAGGGACGUAUUGGUAAAUGUUGUGAAAUGGAUACUUUGAACAGGUAUGUACUUAACCCUCGGGUUGAAAACUCGACAUAACAACAAUAUGGUAAGAUGGUAAAUGAAAAUGUGAUAUGAAUGUCUCGGUGAUGAUUAUACAAACGAUGUUGUAUUAAUUUUGUGAACAAUGAUCAUGAAUGAGUAAUUUAGCCUUGACAGAUUUGAGUUACUGCAGUAGUGUAACUUUGAAAAUACACUAAAAAUAGUGGAACAUGAGUUAGAGGCAGAAUAAAAUAUGAGAUUAAAUCUCAAUGAGUCUAUUUUCACAUGAAAGAAACAAGGGAAGAAAAAGAAUUCCAUAUUGUGUGAUAUUUGAAUUCUUGUGAAACAGAGUCUGAAUGAAUUCGAGAUCCCCUGUUCUAACUUUAGAAAUUCACCAAAAAUUGUCCAAAAAUAAUUAAGAGUUAUACCUUACAUGCAUGGAUUUCUUAUUGAGUCUAUUUUUAUGGGAAAUAAACGGCAUGGUCGUUGGAAUUUUUUACAGGGAGAAAUUCAGUUUGUAGUGCACAGGGGUCAGAGUGGUCAUACCCUGAAAUAGGGGAGACUUUAACUAAUAAACUAUACUAUUUGGCUUAACCAAAAAUUCUGGAAAUUUUAUGGAAGAAAUAAAAAUAAGUCUAGUUUCAGAGAAAAUUAAUGGAACUUAAUUCAGAGUUUCUUAGCUCCAGAUAUAAAUAAUUUAGUGACUGUUGCUCAGGAAGACAGCUUGUAGUGAACUUGAGAAUAUGUUGUAAACAUUGAUAAAACAAGUUAAUGAGUCGCUUAUUGUUUUCAUAUGAACUUACUAAGCGAAAGCUUACCCCCCCUUCUUUCCCAUGUUUUUUAGAGUUUCCAGGUUAGCUCGGGUUGGAAGCCGUCAGAGAUGUUAUCACCCUAUCGAGUUAACGUUAUCGGAGUAAGUAAACUCAAGUGAUUCGAGUCUAUGGCAUGUAUAGGGUUUUAAUGUGAGUAUGUAAUAUUAUGAUUUAGCCAAAGGCAUUGGCUUGUUAUUAAGGUAGUAUUAGUUAUGUAAAUUGGCCUAUGUCGGCUAAUAUCGUUAUGGGCCCAUAUGAUUAUUCUUAUGCAUUUAUGUUAUUAUUUCUUGUGAUGUGGCUUACAACAUGUAUGCCUAGAGAUUGAAUUGAGAUUCAUUGAUGAGCUAGUAACUAAUGCAGGAUUAAGUGAUUGGUAAAUAGUUAAUAAUGCUUCAUGAAUGGUUUGUGAUGUAAUGAUAGUUAUGUCUAGUAUGUGGUAAUGAUAUGGGCAAAUUCUAUAAUAUUUAUUGCAUAAGAAAAUAACUUGAGCAUAACAUGUUUGUAGAUGUUUAAGAGCUUAUUUAUGUCACGUUGUAUGUUAUUGGAUAAGUAUGUAUCUAUACAUAUGGUGUGAGAGUGAUAAAAGGCUUAAUAAUUAGCCUAUUUCUGGCCACACGGCCUGAGCACAUGGGCGUGUGAAGCCUUAACACAAGAGAUUUUUUUUAAGUUUUUCAUGAGUUCUCGAUUGGGUCUCGAACCACUCCAGAUGUAUGUUUUGGGCCUCGUAAGCCUGUAUAUGGGACAGAUUGUAUGUGAAAAGAAAAGUUUUUAACUAUUUGAGAUUUCAUGGCCUUGUUUAGUAUGAAAGUAUUAGUAAAAGUCAGGUAGCACCUCGAACCCCGUCCCGGCGUCGGAUGCGGGCGAGGGGUGUUACAAAUCUUAGAAAAAAGUUGUUUGGAUUUUGAUUUGUAGAUUUGUGACGUUCAAAAAUGUUGCAUGAAAAAAAACUGAAUUAUAGAAGAGAAAGUGAAAGAAAGCUUUCGAUUAGUGCAAGUAAUGUAAAAAGAGAAUGUCAUAUACCAACGAUUUUAACAACUCAAUGACUUAAAUGAAAACUUUUGAAUAGUGAUCAUUUUGUAACUGUUUAAAGUUAAGUGACCAAAAUAACUUAAUAAAUGUAGACGCAGUUUACUCUAAGUCUAACUAAAUCAUUAUUGAGUAGAGUAUGGAAUUAGUUUGCUAUUUUUAAAAAAUCAUAGCCACGAGGCAAACAUUGGGAAUAAAGUUGUAAUUCCCACUAAAGCAUUGCGUAGUAGGAGGAGAGAUGAGUUUCCUCCCCCAAAUUCGGGCUCAAAUUUUGUAAUCCCAACAUAGAUCACGUUUAACCAUUAAAUUAACGAUUCUCUCAAUAUUUUUUAUACAUUUUUAGUGUAAUUAAUAUUAAUAUAUUAAAUUUAAAUAAGAAAAGACUUUAUUAUUAAAAUAUAAAUUUAAUUUGAGUCAAUUAAAAUUUAUGAAACUUUUAUUUUAUAAUUUUUUUAUAAUUUUAAAUAUAUCUAACAAGUGUUAAGUAUAUAUAAUGAUCAGAUAAAUUAUAUUUUAAUAAAAGAAUGUAAAUUUAAAAUUAUUGAAAAGAAAAAUUACAAAUGCCAGUAAAAUAAGUUUAGAGUACACUACAAAUACAAAAGGCAUUUAACAUUUACGUUUAUUGAAACAAGUAAUUAAAUUAUUAAACCAGACAUGAAACAAAAUAAAUAUCAUUAUAUAGCUCUAAAAACCAUAUGAUUCAUGAGACCCCUCCUUCAUUUAAGUAAUUACGUCGGUGUUGUUCCAAUAGGGUCGGAAGCGUGUAAAUUAUUGUACUAAAAAAUCACACAAAGUUCAAUUCCCAGGAAAGAGAGGUGGAUCACAAGGAUCUCUUAAGUACCAAGUCUUUCCUUAGUCAGAAUAUCCCUUCUAUCGUAAUUUAAUAGUACAAUUAAAUACUACUAUUAUACCCUCAAAUAUUGAAAGAAAAAUAGGACAAGAAAAAACACAAGAGUUUUAACGAGGUUCGGUAAAUUAUACCUACGUCCUCGGGCACUAACACCAGAUGAUAACUUUAUUAUCUCCAAAAUAUUACAAACAAAUAGAAUUCCUUAAGAAUUCUCAAAUGGGAGAAGAGAGAAAACUAAGAGAGAAAGAUUGGUUGGGAUGGUUGAAAUGAAAAUGAUUAGGCCUAUUUAUAGUUGAGGUUCAGGGACCAAUCUGCAAAUGGCCUAAAAAUUAGGGAUCAAAAUUGCAAUUAUCCCAUUCAACUUUAAACAACUUGCCAUCACUUUUUCUUUCGGUGCCAAUUGCACCUCCCAUUUUUGACUUUUCAACACCCCCUUAAUUGACUUUUCAACAAUCUCCACCUUGAAGAUUUGAUUAGGAUAAUCACAUCUUCACACACUUCCUUCAACUCCCCAUAUUCGAUAAAGCUAUCUUUUGUAGUGCCUCCAAAUGCGCUCUCGAGUGCCAUACACCUGAAGGUGCUCAAAUUCUCAGGAUGUUAAUCAAGUUCAAACAAUGAUUAAACUUGAUUGUUGUUACCACCUUGGUCAUCAUAUCUGCGGGAUUAUCUGCUGUCGGAAUCUUCUGAAGUAGAAUUUUUCUUUUUUCAAAGACUUCCCGCACAAAGUGAUAUCUUACAUUGAUAUGCUUGGUUCUUGAAUGAUAGACUUGAUUUUUCGCUAAAUGAAUAGCGCUCUGACUGUCACAAUAUAGACUAAUGUGACUUUGAACAACUCCCAAGUCUUUCAACAAUCCAUUAAGCCAAAUAGCCUCCUUAACAGCUUCUGUAACUGCCAUAUAUUCUGCCUCUGUAGUAGACACUGCUACUGUAGACUGUAAGGUAGACUUCCAACUCACUGGGGCUUUCGCAAGAGUAAACAGAUACCCCGUAGUUGAACGACGUUUAUCUAAAUCACCAGCAAAGUUGGAAUCAACAUAUCCAACUACAAACUGACCAAGUGCUUCAUCCUGUUCAAAAAUUAAACCAACAUCUACGGUUUUUCGAAGAUACCGUAGAAUCCAUUUCACAGCUUGCCAAUGUCCUUUUCCAGGAUCAUGCAUAUACCUGCUCACAACUCCAACAGCUUGUGAAAUGUCAGGCCGCGUACACACCAUCGCAUACAUCAAACUCCCAACUGCAUUAGCAUAUGUGACUUUUGCCAUAUAUUCUCUUUCUUCUUCAGUUUUCGGAGAUAAUUGAGCACUAAGUUUCAAAUGAGAAGCAAGUGGGGUACUUACAUGUUUUGUGUUUUCAUUUACACCAAAACAUUGUAAUACCUUUUUCAGAUAUUGCUUCUGAUUCAAACAAAGCUUGCCUCUCUGUCUAUCUUUACUUAUCUCCAUGCCGAGAAUCUUCUUGGCCUCACCUAGAUCUUUCAUCUCGAACUCUUGAUUCAACUGAGCCUUCAACUUAUCUAUCUCUUUUUGGCUCUUCGAAGCGAUUAACAUAUCAUCAACAUACAAGAGUAGCUAAAUGAAAGAUCCGUCAUGCAGUUUCUGCAAAUACACACAAUUGUUAUAUUAGCUUCUUGUGUACUUCUGCCUUCUCAUAAAGCUAUCAAAUCGCUUGUACCACUGCCUCAGGGAUUGCUUCAAUCCAUAUAGCGAUUUGUUCAGCUUCUAAACCCAAUUUCUACCACCAGCAUCUGUGUAUCCUUCGGGCUGAGUCAUAUAGAUCUCCUCUUCUAACUCACCAUGCAAGAAAGCCGUUUUAACAUCAAGUUGAGCUAGCUCCAAAUUCAACUGUGCUACCAAGGUCAACAAAAUUCUGAUGGAGGAAUGCUUCACAACAGGGGAAAAUACAUAAUUGUAGUCAAUUCCCUCCUUCUGAGCAUAGCCUUUAGCUACCAAUCUUGCCUUGUAGCGAAUAUCUUUCUUGCUAGGAGAUCUAUCUUUCUUUGCGAAUACCCACUUGCAUCCGAUUGCCCUUUUACCUUUCGAUAAUUGCGCCAACUCCCAAGUAUUGUUCUUCUAGAGAGACUGUAUUUCUUUAUCCAUGACGCCUUUCCAUUUGUCACUUUCUAAGCUUUGCAUUGCUUCUUGAUAAGUGACAGGAAUAUCAUCAUCAACAACGGGAAGGGCAUAGGCUACCAUAUCAGUAAAUCGAGCAGGUUUACGAAUUUCUCUCCGUGGCCUUGCAACUGCAACUGGUUCUGGUGUACUUAGUGGUUCUUGGGUCAGAACCUCUUCAACCUCUAAUUCCUCCAUUGUGGCUGGAGAAUUAGACUUAUUAACUGGGCAAAUCCCUAUCUGCUCAAACUCCACCUGUUUUGGAGUACACUCCACCUGCUGUGGAGUAUCACUUGUCUGAAUAUUUUCAUCUGCUACCUUUUUCAAUGUGGCAAAUUCAUCAAAGGUAACAUCUCUGCUAUAGAUCAUUUUCUUUGUGUCUAAGCACCAAAGACGAAAUCCCUUCACUCCAGAAGUGAUUCCCAUAAAGAGAGCUUUCUUUGCCCUCGGAUUUAACUUUGACUCCUUCACAUGAUAAUAUGCAGUGGAUCCAAACACAUGUAAGGAAUCAUAAUCUGUAGCCAGUUUUCCAAACCAUACCUCUAUAGGAGUUUUUCUUUCUAAUGCAGAUGAUGGCAAACGAUUAACAAGAUGGCCAGCGUAUGUCACAGCCUCAGCCAAAAAUUGCUUGCCCAACCCAGCAUUGGACAACAUACAUCGAACUUUCUCCAACAAUGUUCGAUUUAUACGCUCUGCCACUCUAUUCUGCUGUGGUGUAUCCCUAACUGUGAAGUGCCGAACAAUACCAUACUCUUGGCACACAUCGAAGAACGGAUCACUUUUAUAUUCCUCUCCAUUGUCCGUCCUAAGCCGUUUGAUUUUCUUGCCAGUCUGGUUUUCGAUCAUAGUUUUCCAUUUAAGAAAAACUCCAAUCACUUCAUCCUUAGUUUUCAUGGUAUACACCCAAACUCUUCUGGAAAAGCCAUCAACAAAAGUAACAAAGUAGUGUUUCCUCCCAACGAAGGUGUUUUGGAAGGCCCCCACACAUCUGAGUGAACAUAUUCUAAAAUACCUUUUGUAUUAUGGAUAGCAGUGCUGAAUUUCACUCUCUUUUGCUUUCCCAAAACACAAUGCUCGUAAAAUUUUAAUUUGCAAGCCUUUGCACCUUUCAACAAUCCUUGCUUUGCCAGAAUUUGCAAGGAUUUUUCGCUGGCAUGUCCCAACUUCAUAUGCCACAACUGCAUUGAGUCCAAUUCUUUGUUACCGGAAGCUACAGCGACUGCUCCAAUAACUGUACUACCUUGGUAGUAAUACAAGUUAUUUUUCCUGAUGCCCUUCAAUAUCACAAGUGCGCCAGAUGUCACUUUCAAAAUCCCAUCUCUCAUAGUAACAACUGAACCAUUGGAUUCCAAGGCUCCCAAUGAGAUGAGAUUUUUCUUCAAACUGGGUACGUACCGAACAUCAGUCAAAACUCUGGUUGAUCCAUCUUGAUUCUUUAAUUGGAUUGAACCUAUCCCAACAGUUUUACAGGUAUUGUCAUUGCCCAUAUAAACAACUCCUCCAUUUAGUUCUACUAAAUCAGAGAACCACUCCCGGUUAAGGGACAUAUGAUAGGUACAACCCGAAUUCAAUAUCCACUCAUCUGAAUGGAACGACGAUGAUGAUGCAACCAGUGAUAGUUCAGAGUCACUGGUAUCAUGCUUUGCAACACAAGCAUCUACAGCAGUUUUUCCCUUAUUCUUCAGCUUUGGAUAAUUUUUCUUCCAGUGGCCUUUCUCAUGACAAAAGGCACAUUCAUCUUUCCUGAGUCUGGACUUUGACUUUGAUCUCCCUUUCUGAGUUUUCUUCUGAGUGUAUGAACGACCUCGGACUACUAAAGCUUCUGUAUCUCUGAUUAAGUUUUUCUAUUUGUCAUUCUUUCUCUGUUCAUAACUGUAUAAGGCCGCACAGACUUCGCUCAGAGAUAUAUCACUCCUGCCAUGAAGUAGAGUAGUUUCUAAGAACUCAAACUCCUCAAGAAGUGACCCCAACACCAUCAAAGUCAAAUCUUCAUCUUUGAAUGUCUCAUCCGUAUUUAGCAAAUCAGUGACUAACUGAUUAAAUUUGGUGAUGUGAUCAUUCAUUGUGGUACCUGGGACAUAAGUGAAGCGAAACAGUCUUUUCUUCAAGUGGAGUUUAUUUUGACUAUUUUUCUUCAAAAAUUUUUCUUCAAGUUCCACCCAUAACUUAUUUGCAGAAGUUUCCUUUGAAAAAGCAUACCUCUGCUCUUGAGAAAGGCAUGAUCGAAUUGUGCCACAUGCCAACCGAUUGAUCGCCUUCCAAUCUUUCUCCUGUACAUCAUCUGGUUUCUCUUCAUCAAUGGCAAUGUCUAGACCCUGCUGAAAAAGGGCAUCUAGAACCUCACUUUGCCACAUACCAAAAUGGCCCGUGCCAUCAAAGAUCUCCACGGCCAAUCUUACAUUUGCAAUUGUCAGUCUUGUCCACAUGAACGAUGUUGAAGCUCCUACACCGACCAUUUUCUCCAUAAUCUUUCAAUAUACCUAAGGAAAUCUUUUCUGAUGUGGAAGAUCGGUUUAAACUGCAACCACAAAGCAUACUACGAUUAACCUUCGGCUUUGAUACCACUUGUUGUUCCAAUAGGGUCGGAAGCGUGUAAAUUAUUGUACUAAAAAAUCACACAAAGUUCAAUUCCUAGGGAAGAGAGGUGGAUCACAAGGAUCUCUUAAGUACCAAGCCUUUCCUUAGUCAGAAUAUCCCUUCUAUCGUAAUUUAAUAGUACAAUUAAAUACUACUAUUAUACCCUCAAAUAUUGAAAGAAAAAUAGGACAAGAAAAAACACAAGAGUUUUAACGAGGUUCGGUAAAUUAUACCUACGUCCUCGAGCACUAACACCAGAUGAUAACUUUAUUAUCUCCAAAAUAUUACAAACAAAUAGAAUUCCUUAAGAAUUCUCAAAUGGGAGAAGAGAGAAAACUAAGAUAGAAAGAUUGGUUGGGAUGGUUGAAAUGAAAAUGAUUAGGCCUAUUUAUAGUUGAGGUUUAGGGACCAACUUGCAAAUGGCCUAAAAAAUUAGGGACCAAAAUUGCAAUUAUCCCAUUCAACUUUAAACAACUUACCAUCACUUUUUCUUUCGGUGCCAAUUGCACCUCCCAUUUUUGACUUUUCAACACCCCCUUAAUUGACUUUUCAACAGUCGGGAUGCACACUCCGUAGCAUGUGCAAUUACCACAGCAUUCCUUUUCUGCAAAUAAGCAAAACUCAUACUUCGGGACGCAUUCGGCAUCAGGAUUUCCUUUAACGUGGAAAUUGACCAAAGCGGUUGUUGAGCUUGAGUCAGCGGGGAGAGUCACCGCCUCUUUGCAAGCGGCGGUUGCCAUUAGAGGCAUGGUGGCUGUCAGGAGCACCGCCAUCGUAACCAAGACGACAGUAAAUUUCUUCCAGGACUCCAUCUUUAAGUUUGUGUGUAAAUUGAUGGACACGUUAUACAAAUGGAGGUGCUUUAUAUAGAAAUGCCCAAAAUAUAUUUUAGUGGUUUGCCAAAUAAAAAUAACAAAAAUCAUAUUAUAAACAAGUGGAUUGCAUGGCAAAUUACGUGACUUGCAUGGAAGACUAGUGAAUGGAAAUUUUGAUACACAUCCACCAUCUCUUUCUCUCUCCCUCUCUUUUACUUUUCUUAUAGUUUUUCUUAAACAUCUAACUUAAAACUUUUGGGUAAAUUAAACAAAUAGCCACCAAACUAUGCACACGUUCCUAUUUUGGUCACCAUCUAUUAAAUUGAUAACAAUAUAAUAGGUAUAAUAACAAAUUCAGCCCUCAAUAAUUACAUAUUCUAUUGAUUUGAUCCUAAUUCUAAAUAAUUCAAUAACUUUAACCCUUUACAUUUACAAAUGCCAUCAAUUUGAUCCUCAAACUUCCUAACCAAAGCUUUCAAUUUUUAAAACAAAGGCAUUCCACAUCUAUAAAUUUGCAAAACCCUAAAAAAAAGGGAAACAAAACUUCUUUUUGGGUUUUACAAAUUUAUAGAUGUGGAAAGCUUUAAUUAGAAAGUUUGGGGAUCAAAUUGAUAGAAUUUAUAAAUGUGAAGGGUUAAAUUUAUUAAAUUAUUCAUUAAUAGGAUCAAAUUGAUAGAGUAUGUAAAUAUUGAGGACUAAAUAUGUUAUUAUAUGAGUCAAAUCGCUAUCAAUUUAAUGGUGGGUGACUAAAAUAGGAACAAAUUCAAACGUUAGAGCCUAAAUUAAAAUUUUUUAAAGUUGGGUGACAAAAACAUGAACGCGGACAUAGUUGGGUAACCAUUUGUAUAGUUUACCCUAAAAUUUUUAAUAGGUUAAAAUAUACUUAAUGUCCUUGUACUUUUUGCAUAUUUGAAAUUUAGCCCAUUUUACUUUUUAGAUUAAAAAGUGUAAGUGUAAUUGUUGAACCAAUUAAAAUUCUUCUAUUAAAUUCAAAUUCAUUACAAAGUCUUUUUUUAUUAUUAUUACAUGGCUACUAAGUGAGUAUUUCUUUUAUUUCAAAAUGUCACACUAGAAAAUUUAAUAGAAUAAUGUUAACAGUGUUAACAAUUAGAUUUGAAUUUUGAAAUCAGAAAAGUAGAAUGACCAAAUUCUUAGAAAUAAAACUAGGUGGACUAAAUUCUAAAUAUAUGAAAAGCACGAGGACUUGUAGUAUAAUUUAACCUAUCUAAAAUUAAUUGACAAUAAGUGAAUAUAUAAAUGUAAAUAAGACAUUAGUGCUGUAAAAUACUCAAGUUCAAUUUGAAAGAAAAAAAUCUCAAAUUUAAGGAUAAAUCACAUCCAAACUCACUAAACUAUUAGCAAGUUCACAUUUUAUCAUUCAACUUCAAAAAGUUACAAAAUGAUCACUAAACUAUUCAAAAGUUUUUAUUUAAGUGAUCAUUGCGCUAUAAAAUUCUUUUUUUAAAGUUCAGCUAGUGAGCUCCAAGCAACAAUUCAACGAUCAGUACAGUGGAUCAGUACUCAUUGCUGAGUAGAAGAACAUAUAUUAGAUCCAAGUUGAUUUGGCAAUCAAUAUCGGAGAUCUUAGAAGAAAGUUGUUUGAAUUUUGAUUCGUAGAUUUAUAAUGUUUAAAGCUGUUGCAUGAAAAAAAACGAACUAUAAAAGAGAAAUGGAAGGGAAGCUUUCGAUUAGAGCAAAUAGUGCAAAAAGAGAAUGCCAUAUACCAAUGUUUUAACAACCUAAAGACUUAAAUGAAAACUUUCGAAUAAUUUAAUAAUCAUUUUAUAAUUUUUUAAAAUUGAGUGAUCAAAAUGUAAAAUUACUAUUUAUCUAAUAAAUUUAGCUAUAAUUAACCCUAAUUUAACUGAAUUAUUGUUGGAUUGAGCUGGAAUAUGUAAUUAUUUUGUUAUUUAAAAAUAUCAUAGCCACGAGGCAAACAUUGGGAAUAGAUGAAAAGAUCGCAUGGGGAUAUAAUAACAAUAAUAAUAAAAGUUGGUUUUUGUGUAAUUCCCACUAAAGCAUUAAUGCGUGGAACCACGAGCGAUGAGUUUCCUUUCCCAAUUUUGGACUCAAAUUGUAAUCCCAAAACUAACCAUGCCAUUGCCAUGAUGUAUACCAACAUAGAUCACGUUUAACCAUCCAACAUAUUUUUUUAUACAAUUUUGGUGUAAUUAAUAUUAAUAUAUUCAUGUUGUCAAGUUAUUUUUCAUAUAUUAAAUUCAAAUAUAAGAAAAGACUUUAUUAUUAUUAUUAUUAUUAUUAAAAUAUAAAUUUAGUUUGAAUUAAUUUUAAUUUAUGAAUGUAGGUUCCUACUUUAGAGGAUAAUGCUUUGACGUUAUUCAAAUUGCUGUGAGCAGGUAUAAACCUGUUGAUGAGAAGAUUUGGCAUUUUUGGAGACGGGGUGAUUGUAUGUGAAGUCCGGCUAUUUGCUUGCUACAAGGUCGUUUUCUCGACUUGACCUUUCGUUUGAUUUCGGUCCUUGGUUGAAACUUUGGAAUAGUUCUCUUUCCCCGAAGAUUAAAGAUUUUGUUUGGAGGUGCCUCAAAGACUUUGUUCCGUGUGUAUACAUAAUCGAUCACUAAAAGGGUGCCUCUUGAUCCCUCUUGUGCUAGAUGCGGCUCUUUCGAAAGUCUAGAUCAUGUGUUUUUCAUUGACCUAUGGUUGCACUUGUAUGGCAACUUAGUGGUAUUCAACGAAGAGGUGACAGUGCAUGGGAGUUCUUGCUUAAUAUUUUAGAAAGUGGCGACAAUGAUCUGAUGGAGAAAGGCUGUGCGAUAGUUUGAAGUAUUUGGUUUUUCAGAAAUGCUUAUGUUUGGUGCAAUCUGAAUUCCUCUGUUACGCAGUUGCUAACUUUUGCUUUGAACUAUUUACAGGAUUGGAAGGAUGCAAAGGGGCGGUGGAAACUUAUCGCCAGGCAAUAAAUGGAUGCCGCCCGAGGAGGGCUGCUGGAAAUGCAACACUGAUCUCGCUACCGGACAUAUAGUGACUGGGGCUUCGGUGCAAUUGUGCGGAAUGAAAGAGGCGAGUAUAUCUCAGGGAUUUUCGGCCGAAUUGAGCCGGUGGAGCAGCCGAUGUUGGCGGAAGCCCAUGCUAAUAAAGAGGUCCUCUCAUGGUUAAAGGACUGCGACUUCGACAAUGUGAUUCUGGAAACUGAGUAUCAUGCCUUGGUUUCGAGGGAACCCGACAAUUAGAGUUCGGUGUUGUAGUUGGUGACUACAUUAGUCUUAAUAAUCUUUUCAAUUAUGUGAAUUUUAAUUGGAUGUGCAAAGAUGCUAAUACAGCGGAUUAUGAAUUGACUAGGAUAGCUUUAUUUCAUGCUCAACUGCAUAUUUAGAAUUUAGUCCCACUUUUUUUAACUCGCAUUUUGCUUUAUGAUUCGGCACUAACAAGGCGGAGCCUCAUGGUCCGGGUUAAUUUUCCAUCUAUUACUAGCUGGCUUGCUAUGUUAUGCUUUGUUUAAUCAAUACUAUUGUCGAUUAUUUUCAAAAAAUUAAAUUAAAUUUAAAUAAGAAAAUGAUUUUGAUAUCCUUGGAAGGGCAAGUUUUGCCAACUCCUUUUUCAUCUCUCCAUAGAUUUAUUCUAGUAAUUAUUGGAAAAAUAAAAAGAGAGACUAAAAAUGAUAAUUAUAUAUUUUUUAAGUUAAAAUGCAAUUAUACUAUAAUAUUAAUUUAUAAUUUCAUAAAAUUUAAAUGACAAGCUUACUAUUUAAGGGUAUAUACAUUGCGUGCCCCCUAUCUACACUUCUGAUGUGUAGGAUGAAUUUUGGUGCAAUCUCAUGGGAGUUCAUUUCUUUUGGAUAACCAUGUUUAAAGACAAACCUUUAUUUUUUUUUAGUACAAUACAAGCAAUUAUAUUAUAAGGGAAAAGGGGAAGAGUUUACAAACACAGGCAUAAUCCUAAACAUGCACAAUUUUCACAGCAAACUCUGGUCGUAAACAUGCAAAAUUCAAAAUUUUUGAGGCAUUUCUUAUCAGGUUUGUCUUCAACAUCUAAAAUUUUGGCCAAAGUGGUUGUUGAGCUCAAAUCGGCAGGGAGAGUCACCUCCUCUUUGCGAGCGGCGCUUACCGUUGGAGGCAUGGUGGCUGCCAGGACUACCGCCAUCAUAGCCAAGACGAAAGUAAAUUUCUUCCAGAACUCCAUCCUUAAUUUUGAGUGUAAAUUGAUAGAAACGUUGUACAAAUGGAGGUGCAUUAUAUAGAAAUGCCCAAAAUAUUUUAGUGGUCUACCAAAAAAUAAAAUCAUAUUAUAAACAGGAUGAUUGCAUGACAAAUUACGUGACUUGCAUGUCAGACUACUUGAUGGAAAUUUUGAUACACAUCCACCAUUUCUCUUUUUCUCUUAGUUUUUCUUAAAUAUUUUAGUUAAUAUCUAAAAUCAAUUCACAAUAAGGGAAACUAAAUAAAGAUAUUAAUACUCGUAAAAUACAUAUAUUCAACUUAAAAAAGUAAAAAUCUUAAAAUUGCAUUAUUGAGUUGAGCAAUUAACUUAUUAAAUCAUGAAAUCCAUGAAGAUAGAACUCUCAAAUAAAGCAAAAGAUGAUUUUGUUUUAAUUUAUUUGGUAAUAUCUUAAAAGAAAUUACGUAAUUCGAUAAUUUUUAAUUGAUUUCCUCGUCAAUGACUUUGAUUUAAAGAAAGAUUGAAGAGUAUAAUUUAAGAUGUUCAACUUUAAGAAAUAGUAUUAUAUCUUAAAUUAUUUUAAUUUAUGUUUUUUUAAAGUAAAUUAAAUUACAUUUAAAAAGUAUUAAGUUACUUCUUUAUUAUUGUACCAACAACUACUUGGUGCAAGAUAGACAUGAUCAUGAGCUGGGUCAUCCGUCUAAGCCCAAAGGUUCACUUGAAAAAUUAUAGAGUUUAAGUAAAAAUAUAGGCACAAAAAAUGAGUUUAGACAAAAAAUAAUGCAUGUUAUCUAAACGAGUCGAGCAUAGGGUAAGAUUUUUUGGCCUAGCCCGAAUUUGCCUAAUUUUUUUCUUUACUACAAUUUAUUGUUAUUUUGUUGUUAUUUUGCUAUAAUUUUACUCUUAUAUUGUUAUUGUUUUGAUAUUGUAUAACUAUUAUUUCAUUAUUAAUUUUCUUACUAUUUUAGAGACAUUUGCUUAUUAAGUUAUAAUUAUUUUAGUGUUUAUAAAGACUUUUCUUAAUAUAUUUUCAAUUUGUUAGAAAAUAUUUAUUUUAAUAUUUUUAAUGUAUUUGAUGUAUUAUAUUUUUUAAUUUAUUUUUAUAUAAAAAAUUUAUUUUUAUAUUUUUUAAUUUAUUUUUAUAUAACUUAUUAAGUUAUACAAUUGAAUUUUUUAAAUUUUAAGGUAUAAUAAAAUAUUUAAAGAAAAAUAAUAUACAUGAUAAUUUUUUAAAAUUAAUUGUGAAAAAAAUAUUAUCAAUAUAUCAAUAUUAACUAUCAUAUUAUAUACAUGUUUUUGUAUAACAUCUAGAUUAUGACAUGGUUUUAAACUCGAUCAUUUUAUUUUUCUUCUUCAAUAUUGUAAUUCUAAAAAGGAAUUUGAUAUAUUUUUUAUUAUUAUAUUUUGAAGUUAUUUUUCAAUCAUAUAUUAAUAAAAAAUAAGAAAAAAAAUUAUUAUUAUUGAAAAUUCUAUCACGUCUAUACGUGUGUAAACUACGUAUUUAGAACAUAAAAGUUUAUUUAAAUAAUAUAACUAAAAAUAUUUUUUAAUAAUUUCUCCUACUAAGUUGAUGCUUGGUUGACUCGUAACACCAAUAUCGUCAUAAGUUUAAAUAAUAGUACGUAUAUAUAUACAAUUAAUGGAGGUAAAAAGUGUGCAUAAUAAAAUUAGCAAGUAUAAAUAACAUUAUAUUAAAGCUUUGGUUUAAUGCUAAAUUUAAAGUUUUAUUAAUUCAAUUGGUAUAAGUUCAAAUAUAAUCAUAUGUAUAUAUUGUCGAAACCGCCCUUUCGGUUUAAAAAUUUUAGGUUUAAUAGAAAAAACGAGGAAUCGACUGUUUGAAAAUAAAACAUGGGGUCGCCACCGAUCCUUUUGUUUGGGUGUGAUCGGAUCACCUAAGAAUUUGAUUAUUUUAAUAAAAUGUUUUUAGUUUACUAAAACAACGAUUCUGGUCUAAGAAAAUAUGAGAAAACGGGCUCGGGAAUCGGUUACGUAUGAGGAAGGAUUAGCACCCUCAUUACGCUCAAAAUUGGUACCAAAUCGAUUAAAUACCGUCCUUAUGUCUAAAAUUAAAAAUAUUUUUGAAAUGCGGUUCUUGUUAAUAACAUUUGAAUAACCCGAGUUGGUUGCCAAAAAUCUUCUUGUUUCGACAUCCGACAGUUUAUAAUUUGAAAUUAACAAAAGGAUGCCCAACUAUUUGGUCCAACGAAAAACCGAAACCCAGCACAGUAGGGCACGAUUCCUCGAAUUUUCAAACAUCGAACAUUGCCUCACCUUAGAAAAUACGAGUGAAAUUCUGAAGGGAUCUUCGAUUGUUUUGAGCAAAUGAAAAAUCGCAACCCAGCACGAUAAGGCUCGAUUCUCAAAUCGCCAAACAUCGAACAUCGCCUUCGUUUUGAAAGGUUUUUAAUAAACAUGAAUGAAAACCUAAAGGAAUAUUCGAUUGUUUUGAACAAACAAGAAAACACAACCCAGCACGAUAGGGCAAGAUUCCCGAAUUGUCAAACACCGAGUAUUACCUUCGUUUUAAUGGAUUUCUAGAAGACCUGAGUGAAAUUUUGAAGGGAUAUUUGAUUAUUUUAAACAAACGAGAAAUUGCAACCUAACACGUUAGGGCACGAUUCCACGAAUUGCCAAAUAUCGCAUAUCGCCUUCGUUUAAGGGAUUUUAAAAGAUAUGAGUGAAAUUUUGAAGUGAUAUUCGAUUAUUUUGAGCAACUACGAAAUUGCAACCCAACACGUUAGGGCACGAUUCCGCAAAUUGCCAAAUAUCAAAUCUCGUCUUCGUUUUAAAGAAUUUUUGAAUGAAUGAUUAUAAAGCUAGCUUAAGACGUAUUAAUUCGAUUUGAAAUAAGACGAAAUUAAUCAUAAAUUUGGGUUUUAUAGAACCACAUUUCAAAAAUCAAGUGAAACGAUGAUAUGUGGUAAAAGGCACAUAUGAUGGUACGAUGCUUAAUGAACAAGAAUAUUAAUCGACUAGCAGAAUAAGCAAUUAAAAUAUAAUUAAUUUAGAAAUUAUAGCCUAAUUUCAAUCAUGUAUGAAUAAUAAUUGACAUAUCAACAGGAUGAAUGUAACACCCCAAACCCGGCCCAGACGUUAUGGCCGAAUCUGACGUGCCACAUUGGAGUUGAAAACCCAUGUUCCGUUUUAGUGUUUUAAAAACCAUAUAUUUUGUUGAGUUAACAAAGUGUAUGGAAGUUGGGCACCAGGUAGGUAUCCGAGACAGAGGAGGUGAGCCAUGAAGGCUGCUUAAGUACCAAGCUCUUUGAUUGGAUCCAAUCCUAGACAUGCCCACAACCAUAGCCACACUUUGUUAUAUCGAGUUUAAAUUUGUUUAAGUGGACAACUUUGAUAAAUCGAUUAAUCGUAGUGUUGAGAUAUUUUGAAAACAAGUAUCGUUUUGCAAACACGUCCUAAGUCUAGCCCAUUUGAAUAAUUAUCAACCAGGUUUAAAGUUAUUAAAAAUAAACUAAUCCCGAAAAGAAAUAAAAGAAAAGUUAAAAUGGCCUUAUUACAACCCAAAAAUAAAUAAUAAUUAAAGGAAAUUUAAUGAAAACCAACGCUUGUUUAAAAGCCCAAAGACGAUCACCGUGGCUACUCUGAAUCCCCUCCGGCCCAAGUCCCCAUAUCAAGGCUCACCUGCAAGGUUAAGGAAAGGGGGUGAGUUUGGAAACUCAGUGUGCAACAAGCCCCUUUCAGAGCCCAAAACAAUAAUGGCCUGUUGGGUCUAAGCCCAAAACCAAUCUCAAACAUGUAUUGGGCCAUAGCCCUUUUCAUAUUUCAUAAUUCAUAACACUGGGCCGAAGCCUUUUCAUAUUUCAUAUUACUGGGCCGAAGCCUUUACUGUAAACGGUGUGGCCCAAAGGCCCAUUUUUAUAACACAUGUAAUGUCAAUGAAAGAAUGCAACCCAUUUGGGGAGACUACUCAACCCACCUUCCGCUACUCUCCACCAGUACCAACCAACACACCAUGUGGGGAUUAACUCGACCCACCCCGCCAUAACUCUCCACUGGCAACAUAGCUGCUUUAUCAUAUAACUGGAGGCCUAGCCUCUUUUAGUAACUGGGGCAAAGCCCUUUUUAAUAACUGGGGCAUAAGCCCUUUAAUAACUGAGGCAUAAGCCCUUUUGAUAACUGGGGCAUAAUCCCUUUAAUAACUGGGGCAUAAGCCCUUUAAUAACUGGGGCAUAAGCCCUUUAAUAAUUGGGGCAUAAGCCCUUUUUCACUUCCUCCAUUCAUAUAAAAACCCAACCCAAUGCAUUUAUGAAUACAUCAUGUGCAUGUCAUACAUAUCAUGUGCAUAUCAUACAUGUCAUGUGCAUAUCAUACAUACCAUGUUUUUCAAAAUCCCAUGUAUUAAAUUCAUAUUUAAACCCUAGGGGUAUAAUGGUCAUUUUUACUUAGGGGCAAAACGGUCAUUUUCAUGUUAUAAGGGUAAUCUUGUAAUUUUACCAAAAAUUAGGGUUUCCAUGUCCAUUAAUGGUUACAAACAAUUCAUAGGUGCAAACAGUGAUCCUGGCCCGUUUUUAGCGAAAUCGAGUUAUUGGGCCAAAAACCCCUAAUGGGCCCUACUUAGCCGAUUUUAUCAUCUAAACCCAUUUAGCCUAUAUUCCAUAACGGUAUUAUCAGUCUUAACAUGCAAUUUAACAGAUUUCUAUUUUCUACCGAAUUUACCCAAAUGGGCCCGAAAGCCUAUUGGGCCCUAUUGCAGCCCCUCGAGGCCCAACUUACCGUGAAUGCCAAAAAUCACGUUCUUACCGUUUCCAUUGUUCCCGAUCAUCAUCUCAUCGAUUCUAACUAACUAGUGAGUGUUCGCUUGCUCACAAGUCCUCGAAAUGACAGAAUUUCGGCAUUUCGGCUUUUCUGCAUUUAUCGCUUUAAGCUUAUGAAAAAGGGUUCGUUACACACCUGUUUGGCGAUAUUCCUCGACGAGAUCUCCUACACGAUUUCUCCUAUAAUCCAUCAUUAAUAAUUAGCUUCCCAUAAUUGAACAAAACCUCAAAUCAUCUAAUACUAAUACUUACACAUUCGGCCACCAUCCAUAAUGGCCUUAGGAAUCUUACCUUUGCCGCGAUUGAUGACUAGGUCUAGCCACUCCGGUGAUCCAAGCUACUCCAAGUUGGCCCUACACCUUGCUGCUCCUCCAAUAAAUAAACCAAAAAUAUUAAAAGAAGACCCCAUAAGGCCUAUACCCACAUUCGGCCACCUCCCUAAACUAGAGGGGUUUCGGCUUUUGGCCAAAGUUACACUAGGAAUUGUUUAGAGUUUGAACACUUACCACAGUCUUUCUCCUCUUGAAUCCGGAUACCUAAAAGGUAAAGGAAUUGAACGCCAACUAUUGAAAAGGAAAGAAAAGGUUGCUGGUCACAAAGAAUCGGCACCCCCUAUCUUCACUGAUUUCGGCUUUUUGCGGUAUUUCGACAGAAGUAGAGAUUAAAGAAAGAAAUAAUAAAUGAGUAGAGGAAAGUAAUAGGCCGGAUUUUGAAAAAGAAAAGGGAGAAAAGAUGAGAGGAAGGAUGGUAGAUUCGGCUAGGGAAGAAAAAACAAAAGAGAAAACUAAAACAAAUGAGAAAACAGCACAGCUAAGACCCUAAUGCCGAAAUUACUAACCUAAUACCCUUCUGCCGAAUUCCCCUCUCUAACCCCUUCCAAACGGCUAAGCUCUAUCCUUCUCUCAAAUCCCUAAAAUCUCUCCCCUUAUCCCUCAUUAAUCCAUGCGUUUGACUUGAUCCAACUCUCCUCUUACAGAAUCCACUUAGGUUCCAACACUUACCCUUCCUGCACAUAAAAAUAAAUACUCUUAUUUGCCAACACAGGGAAUCGAUCCCAGGUCUUCCCUUAUGCUCCACACGCCACCUUUUUAGGAGCUUAGUGGCGUCACCCUUGCCACUCUACGAAAGCUCUUUUUUUGUGAUACAUUUUACCCAUAACUUAAUAUAAGGCACCUAGCCAGAGCCCCUAACUCCUAAGUCCAAAAUUUAAAAAUUCUACCGGGUUUUAGCCAACUCAUAAGCCUUCCACAAGCCUAUUUACACACCCAAAUUAUGAAUUCCAUAAUCACAUACCAAAUUUUAGAAAAUUACUUAAAAUAUCAAGAAUCGCGAAAAACUCGAAAAUCAGGAUGUUACAAUGAAUACCAUGCGAUGGUAACAUAUAUGCUACAAUAUAGAACAACCAACAAAAUACAUGCAAAACAAAAUAGAAUUUAAAAGUCAAAGUGGUAUAGGAUUAAUAAACUCAUGCUAUAUAAAUUGACAAGUUUGAAUAAAAACUAGAAAUAUAUAUAUAACUAUUGAAAUAGAUAUUAGAAAAUGAAAGUUGAAUUAAAUUGUAUGUAAAAUAAUUUAAACAUAAAUUCAUUUAAAAGUUAACAGAAUAUAUGAUAAUAAAAAUAUAUGAUACAAAAAAUACAUAACAAAAUAUAAUGCCCCAAAAUAGAUUUAUAAGGAAUGUACAUAUAAUUUUAUAAAAAAGAAUGAGAUUAAUGAUAAUGUACAUAUAAUUUUAAGUUGGUCUAAAAACCAUACAUCCUUAUAUCAAAACAUUUAAAUAAUAGGCUAUAUAAAACACAAAAAAACAAUGUAAUAUAAAGAAACAUUAAAAAAGAUAAUAAUUUCAUAAUUAAAAAGUUUCUAAAAUUAUUUCAUAUGUACAUAAAGAAAAUAUUUGGUAAAUCACAAAGUAAAAGGCGUUUUAAAAUAAAAAAUCUAUUAAAGUAAUAAGUGUAUUAAUAUGUAUAUAUAUACAUAUAAAUCUAAAAGUAAAUACGUGUAAAUUUAUAUAAAAAUGAUAAUAUGUUUAGGUUUAGUAAUGUAUAUGAAUCAAAUACAUAUACUAAUAUAAAAGAAUAUAAAAUAACUUAAAUCUUAUAUAAAAUAUAUAUACAAAGCAUAUUUGAAUAGCAAAAAAUACAUAUUAAAGUACAAGGAUAAAGUCAAAAGCCAUUAUAUGUAUGAAAAUGCAUUAACUUUAUUAUAAUAUAUACGUAAUAUGUAUAGUAAUAAAAAGGAAAUGAACAUUUAAAAUGUACAAAAUGUGAUAAUAACAUUACAAAAAAAACGAAUCUACAAGAAUGAAGAAGCAAUCAUCAAGAUUAAUUAAAAUGUACAAAUAAAAUAAAAUAAAAAAGGGUAUAAAACAACAAAAAACUUAAUUAAAAUUAAACUAAAACAAAGGGAUAAUUCGAAAACAAACAAAAAUAAAAAAGGACCAAUAUUUAAUGCGCGAAAACGUCUGGGGACUAAAACUGGCAAUAUACCAGAUCCCAAAACGUCAAGUUUAAGCGCAGGUUAGAUUGUAAACGAAUAUAAAUUAUUGGGCCAAAUUUAAAAAAGGUAAAUAAAACAAAUGGGGCGCACUUGAGCACGCAUACAAAAAAGGAGGGCUUUGCGCGCAAAUAACCCUUCACCGCAUAGGCACGCGGGUCCUGAGGGUUAGGAAUCGGAUCGGGUCAGGUGUACCAAUACGACACCGUUUGGAAAGCCAUUGGAGAAGGCCUAAAACGGUACUAUUCGUGGUCCUAUAAAAAGGCCCCUUUUAGCCCACUCAGCCGAACCCUAGCCUUCAUUCUUCUCCUCAGCCAUAACCUGUGUUUUCUCCCUCCAAGAGACCAGCCCGCCACAAGGUAUGGUGACCGGCGCUCGCAGGCUUCGAAACAUGGUUUCUUUCAGCCACCGGGUUCCCUUCGAACCCUGAUUUUGACGAAGCAAAAGGGAAUCCGCGGCCCAAACUCAAGGUAAGUCCCCUUUUUCUUUUCUUUUUUUGAAUGUAAAAUGACAAAAAUUAAAAAAAGGGAAGAAAUAGCAAAUAGAACCGAAGAACAAAGAUCACCUUCUCAAGAAGUGGCUUUCUGAUUUUCAAGCAAUGUGUAUUGCGUAUGUAUUGUGUGUAUUCAUUUAUAUUGCCUUCGUAACCAUUACAAAGAUUAAAUCGUUGGCUUUAUAGCCGAAAAGAAAUCAAAAGAUAAAAAAUACAAACAAAUUCCUAUUGGCUGUCGUUCUCGCUGCUGUUUUUUGUUUCCUUUCGCAGGUACAGGUGCGUGGCGUAUGUACGAGGCUGUAGUGGCGUACGAGGGCUAUUGACGUAGAGGCCCGAGCGUUGUACGGCGCCUGGAGGCUGCAGUAGUUGCUGCGGCACAAGCAGAGGAGAUGACCUAGGGUUUCUGAGGCUGUUAGGGAAAUGGGCCUAUAGGGCUUGCUCCGAUUUGGGUUCUAACAUUAAUUUGGGCUUGUAAUGGGCAUCGGGUUUGUCUUUGGAUCAUAGGAUUGGUCUUUGUAAAUAGGCUAUGGGCUAUAUUAGUAAUUUUUGGACUAAUGGACUGUAAAAGGACAUUUGGGUUUUAUGUUUAUUAUUUUUGGUUUGUUUUUUGUUUUUUUAUAUGGGUCGAACAAAUUUGGCCCACUACAGCUACCCCUCUUUGCUCAUUGUUGUGUAACGAGAAUAGAGCAAAGACUAUCAAAUGACCAAAUUUGCCCAGUCUGGCUAAGUCUCAAAAUCUUGACCCUCAUCUUCCCCAAAGGUAUUCUGAUGUCUUUAGGAGUGUCAAAUUGGCUAUCCUCAACUUGCUUCUUGAAAACUCAGGAACACCAAUCUGUUAUUUUCGAUCUGCUCUCUGCCAAUACAGAGAUGCCAAAUCUGCUAUCUUCGAUCUGCUCUCUGUCAAUACAGAGACGCCAAAUCUGCUAUAUUCGAUCUACCCUCUGACAAUACAGAGACGCCAAAUCUGCUAUCUUCGAUCUGCCCUCUAACAAUACAGAGACACCAAAUCUGCUAUAUUCGAUCUGCUCCUUGCCAAUACAGAGACGCCAAAUCUGUUAUCUUCGAUCUGCUCUCCGCUAAUACAGAGACACCAAAUCUGCUAUCUUCAAUUUACUCUCCGCCAGUACAGAGACGCCAAAUCUGCUUAUCUUUAAUCUGCUCUCCGCCAAUACAGAGACGCCAAAUCUGCUAUCUUCGAUCUGCCCUCUGACAAUACAGAGACGUCAAAUCUGUUAUCUUCGAUCUGCUCUCUGUCAACACAGAGAUGCCAAAUCUGCUAUCUUCGAUCUGCUCUCUACCAAUACAGAGACGCCAAAUCUGCUAUCUUCGAUCUGCUCUCCGCUAAUACAGAAACGCCAAAUCUGCUAUCUUCGAUUUGCUCUCCGCCAAUACAGAGACGCCAAAUCUGCUAUCUUCGAUCUGCUCUCUGUCAACACAGAGAUGCCAAAUCUGCUAUCUUUGAUUUGCUCUCUGCCAAUACAGAGACGCCAAAUCUGCUAUCUUAAUCUGCCCCCUGCCAAUACAAAGACGUCAAAUCUGUUAUCUUCGAUCUACUCUCUGUCAACACAGAGAUGCCAAAUCUGCUAUCUUCGAUCUACUCUCCGCCAAUACAAGAACGCCAAAUCUGCAGGAUUCGCCAAUGUCGCUACACUGUCUUCUAAAGACAUGAUGUAUAGAAUGGGUUUCCUGUAUCUGUGUAUGUCAAAUAACUAGGAUACUAUGAUCGAGAUGAAUCAAACAUCCCUAACUAGAUGUAGUGUUUAUGUCAAAUAAUUAGAAUGCUAUGAUCGAAAUGAAUCAAGUGCUCCUAACUAAAUGAAUGAUUACGAAUGUAGAAAUGUCAUGAGAGUGAUUCCUUUUUAAACGCUUAAGGUAUCAUUGCUCAUAAUUCACCAAGGUUCUAUCAUUGAUGUACUAUCACGCUCUCUUACUUAGCCGUUAUCUUUGAUAGAAAAUUUGAAGAAAUAGUCACAAGUAGGACUCUUCUUUUUCGAAUGUUUCCAACUUUGAACCUGAUUAGUCCUAACUAGUGGCCCUGUUUCAGGUUCUUGUACUAUUUAGAGACUUUCCAAAGUAAUAUGCAUAACAUCUUUUGUGUGAAUAUUACAUGUCCAAAAAUCGCGAUUUCAACAAAAAUGCUCGCAAGAGAUUAUCAUAAUGGACAAAUGGAAUUUUAUUAAGCAAAAUUUGACGUGAAUACAUAGGAUCACGAAUAUGAUAAGGUGCAAAGAAUGAGAAAAAGGUGCCCCAGAUAUCGCAGCACGAGUUUCACUAUUCUAAUUUCUCAAAGGCUCCUUCGAACCAAAUGUAUAUUCAGGAGAUCCUGCGAAUUUUUUUGAUUCUCCAAGGUGUACUGUUCUUCUGUCUUGCUGAUUUCGGGAGGACAAGACUACCAUAUGCCCCAUAUUUAAAAUUUGAGCUGCCCGUUUUUGGGUUUUCAACUCAAAAGCCCCUUUGGUUCUAAAGUGCCCUUUGCGGGUUUUCACCUUGGCCUCUCCAUUAUUUUUUUUCAGAGUUCAGAGCGCCCUUUGCGGGUUUUCACUCUAGCCUCUCUUUCUUCAGGUAAAAUAUUUCUUGACCGAACCUGAGUUUACAGGAUUGGGCAAGUUUCUACCAUCCAUCUUAGCUAGAAUCAAUACUCCUCCGGAGAAAGUUUUCUUCACCACGUAAGGUUCUUCCCAAUUAGGCAUCCAUUUCCCUCGAAAAUCCUUCUGUAUGGGGAGGAUCUUUUUCAAAACCAGAUUUCCCUCGUGGAAUUCUCUAGGGCGAACCUUUUUGUCAUAAGCCUGCAUCAUUCGUUUUUGGUAUAUCUGACCAUGACGAAUAGCUUUUAGCUUUUUUUCCUCGAUCAAGUUCAAUUGGUCAUAUCGAUACUGGACCCACUCUGUUUUAUCCAAUUUUAGUUCCGACGACACUCGGAAGGAUGGGAUCUCGACUUCGAUGGGCAAAACUGCUUUCAUUCUGUAGACCAGGGAGAAAGGCGUUGCCCCAGUUGAGGUUCUGACCGAUGUUCGAUAAGUAAAGAGGGCAAAUGGUAAUUUCUCAUGCCAAUCUUUGUAGGUCUCGGUCAUCUUUCCCACGAUAUUCUUAAUAUUUUUAUUGGCUGCUUCCACUGCCCUAUUCAUCUUCGGGCGAUAUGGUGACGAGUUGUGAUGUCUGAUCUUAAAUUGACUGCAGACUUCCACUAUCGUACUGUUGUUCAAGUUUAAUGCAUUGUCAGAUAUGGUCCUCCCCGGUAUUCCAUAUCGACAUAUGAUCUCUUUUUUCAAGAACCUGCUCACUGCUGACUUUGUAACACUAGCAUACAAAGCAGCUUCUACCCAUUUGGUGAAGUAGUCGAUAACCAAAAAGAUGAACCGAUGCCCAUUGAAAGCUUUUGGCAAUAUUGGUCUAAUCACAUCCAUGCCCCACAUAGAGAAAGGCCAUGGGGAAACCAUGACAUGUAGCGGUGAAGGAGGCACAUGAAUUUUGUCUCUAUAAAUUUGACAUUUAUGACACCUCUUGGCGUAAUUGAUACAGUUUCCUUCCAUAGUGGACCAAUAAUACCCAAAUCUCAUAAUUUGCUUGGCCAUUGUGAAGUCAUUAGCGUGUGUCCCACAAACGCCCUCAUAGACUUCUUCCAAGAUUUUCUUAGCCUCUACAGCGUCGACGCAUCUUAAUAGCACUUGAUCCUUUCUUCUUUUGUAUAGGAUCUCCCUAUCUAAGACAUAGUUGAUGGCCAAUCUUCUCAGCGUCCUUUUGUCAUUUUUACUUGCCUGGUCGGAGUAUUCACGAUUCCUCACGUAUUGCAAUAUAUCAUGAUACCAAGGGUGAUCAUCUUUUUCUUCUUCCUCUUCAAUAUUAUAACAGUGAGCUGGAGUUUCAUAAAUGCCCAUCCGGAUGGGUUUGACAUCUUCUUGUUUGUUCACCUUGAUCAGGGAGGCUAAGGUAGCCAAAGCGUCAGUCAUCUGAUUUUCAUCUCGUGGAAGGUAGUGGAAGGUAAUAUCAUCAAACUCUUUAUCCAAAUCCAGGACCAGCUUCCGAUAAUCGAUUAACUUGGGGUCUCUGGUCUCCCAUUCUCCCUUGAGUUGAUAAAUCACUAGCGCAGAAUCUCCAUACACCUCUAGCAUUUUAAUCUUAUGUUCUAUGGCUGCACGGACUCCCAUGAUGCACGCCUCAUAUUCCACCAUAUUAUUCGUACAAUCAAAAUCCAAUUUACUAGUGAAUGGAUAAUGAUCUCCGUUUGGGGAUACCAAGACGGCCCCGAUUCCAUUGCCCACAGCAUUUGACGCCCCGUCGAAGUUCAAUUUCCAAGGAAGUUCUUCUAGAGCACCUUCUUCAGUGGUAGCAACACAUAUUAGGUCUUUAUUCAGAAAGUCGAAGUUCAAAGGCUCGUAGUCUUCCAAAGCUCUACUGGCCAGGAAAUCUGCUAUUGCACUUCUUUUUACCGCUUUCUGGUUCACAUAGACUAUGUCGAAUUUAGAAAGCAGAAUCUGCCAUCGGGCCAUCCUUCUAUUCAAGGCUGUUGACUCCAUCAUGUACUUUAAAGGGUCUAAUUUUGAUAUGAGCCAAGUGGUGUGAUACAACAUAUACUGCCUCAGCCUUCGGGUUGUCCAAAUUAGGGCACAACACAACUUCUCUAUCGGUGGGUAUCUUGUCUCACAUUCCGUGAACUUUUUACUAAGAUAGUCAAUAGCCUUCUCUUUCCUUUCUGACUCAUCAUGCUGACCCAAUACGUAUCCCAUGGAAUUCUCAAAUACUGUCAAAUACAGUAUCAAUGGCUUAUCGGGGUUAGGUGGCAUUAGCAUCGGGGCGUUGGAUAAGUACUGUUUGACCUUGUCGAAAGCCCUUUGACAUUCUUCAUCCCAUUCACCUGGGUUAUGUUUCUUGAUGAGGCAAAAGACAUGGUCACAUUUCUCGGUCAGUUGUGAAAUAAACCGAGCAAUGUAAUUUAGUCUUCUUAGAAAGCCUCGAGCCUCCUUUUGGGUACGCAGUGGAGAUAGCUCUUGUAUGGCUUUGACUUUGUCUGGAUCAAUCUCAAUCUCUUUUUCACUAACCACGAAUCCGAGCAACUUUCCAGACUUGGCUCUGAAUGUACAUUUGGCUGGGUUGAGUUUUAGCUGAAACUUCCUCAACCUCAAGAACAAUUUUCUCAAGACUUGUAUGUGCUCCUUCUCUGUUCGAGAUUUUGCGAUCAUAUUAUCGACAUAAACCUCGAUUUCUUUAUGCAUCAUGUCGUGGAACAGGGUUACCAUGGCUCUUUGAUAAGUUACCCCCGUAUUCUUCAGUCUAAAUGGCAUCACUUUGUAACAGAACGUACCCCACAUGGUUACAAAUGUAGUCUUCUCCAUAUCCUCAGGAUGCAUCUUGAUUUGGUUAUAUCCAGAAAAAUUAUCCAUGAAUGAAAACAGUAAGUGUCCUACCGUGUUGUCCACUAGGGUAUUGAUAUGAGGCAGCGGGAAAUUAUCUUUCGAGCUGGCUUUAUUCAAAUCUCUGUAGUCCACACACAUUUACACUUUUCCAUCUUUCUUAGGGACGGGGACGAUGUUAGCUACCCAAUCUGAGUAUUUUACCACCUUCAGAAAUCCGGCGUCGAACUACUUUUGAACCUCUUCUUUUAUUUUUAACAAGACAUCGGGCCUCAUUCUUCGGAGUUUUUGCUGAACUGGCUUACAUUCUUCCUUUAUGGGGAGUCAGUGUCCAGCCCAGGCAUAUCUUGGUAUGACCAUGCUAAGACAUCUUUAAAUUCUUGAAGUAAUUCAAUGAGGUCUCGCUUCAUCUCCGUAGUGAUACACGUUCCGAUCUUCACCUCUUGCCCUUCUCUUAAGCUCAUAAUUUCAACUGAUUCUUUGUGAGGUAAGAUUUGUUUCUCGUCUUGUUCUACCAUCCUCAACAAAUCAGGAGAUAAGUUACAGCCUUGGUCAUCUUCAAAAUCCUGAGAAUCCUCCAUACACACAUCUCGCUCGAAAGGUAAUUCUGAGUCGCUAGUAGUGUCACUCGUAUCAUUAAUAUCUGGGGACCUGUUAUGAGGAUGAAGGCAGAUACAAAGAAUCAAAAGAAUUCGAAACAUUUAUUUGCGUGGUAUGAUUAUGAAUGACGAAUGAAAGAAUAUUUAGAAGAAUGUUUCAAGAAUAAAAGAAUCCGAAAAUAAUCAUUUGUAUGGUUAUGAAUGAAAUUGAAAGGACGAGAGAACAUUUGCUCAAAAAUGAUAAUAACCGUGCAUUUGAUUGAAAUAACGCUUUUAAACAUUAGCCUAUUUCACAAAAGAUUCUUAUUACUCCUAGGCCUAGAGCAAUAAGUGUAUUUUGGACAUUACUCUGAAUCUGUUCUAAAAACUACAUGAAUCUCUUCCGCAGUCCAGUUGUCCAGAACACUUCCAGGUGUGUAGGGGCAAAUGUCUGACAAAUUUUCUCUUUCAGUCUCCUCUUCGUAUAUGACAUUGAUGUCUAAGCUUUCCAACCUUUCUUCUAUAGCUCCCAUCAUUGGCGUGUCUCUCUUAGGAUAAAUGAUUCCCCCGGAAAAAAAUGUUUUCGAUAUAUGGGGGAAUAUUAUUGGUUCUCACUUGAUUUUCUCCCCCGUUAACUGUGUUCUCCUUCUCUCUUGCUUCUUUUCUAGCUCCCUUCUCCUUUGUUUCGCAUCUGGCUUAAAUCCUAGGUCGAAGCGGUCUCUCUUGUCUUUCAGUAUUGGCGUUUCAAUCCUUCAUUGUAGAUGUCUCCCAAGUUCUCUCCCGGGUAGGGCCCAUUUUCCAAUCGUCAACUGGAGGCUCAUCCUCGUGGUUUUGGACAAUUUUGGCACCAGAAUUUUACUUCCCUCGGCGAUGAACGUCGCAUUAACAAAUUCUAAAGAUCGAAAUGAGCAUUCGAUUGCUUCAUCAUCUGUCUCCAAAUAUGGUGCAUUAUUGCUCACAGUUGCAAUGGUAUCCUCUUCAGCCUUGAUCGUUAUCAGCCUCCCCUCCGAUACCAGCUUCAAUUUUUUAUGCAACGAGGAAUGCACUGCCCCAGCUGAAUGUAUCCAGGGCCUCCCCAAUAAGCAAUUAUAUGAGGGCUUGAUAUCCAUCACGAGGAAAUCGGCCUCAUAUGUGUUUGGCCCGAUCUGAAGAGGUACAUCAAUUCUGCCCAUCACCUUCCUCUCCGUGCCGUCGAAUGUCUUUACGAUGUUUUGGAAUUCCUUUAUGUGAGAGCUGUCUAUAGGUAAUCUGUUAAGUGUAGUCAAGGGCAAAAUGUUCAAGGCUGAACCAUUGUCAAUCAGUACGCCUGGCAGCGUAUACCCUUUACAGUGCGUGGUAAUAUACAAAGCUUUAGUCGACUCCAUGCCCCCAGGUGGUAUCUCAUCGUCAUUGAAGAAAAUAAAAUUGUCGGCACUGAUGUUGCUAACCAAACGGUCCAACUUGUUAUCAUUGGCAACGUACGUUUCAUUCAAGACCUUCAUUAGCGCACUACGAUAAAUUUCUGAGCUUAGAAGCAAGGCCAGCACCGAGAUACGGGCUGGUUGUUUACGUAGCUGUUCCACCACACUGUAUUCGCUAUGCUUUAGGAAUUUUAAAAACUCAUUGGCCUCCUCUUCGUUAACUGGCUCGUUAACAGGUUCGGUUGCUUUUCCCUUCAUUUCCUCGACCACCUGGGUUUUUCCUUUUGUGGGCUAUGCCUCCUCAUUUGCUAUAUCGUAACGUCUCCCGCUACGUGUAUAGGAGCCCCUAUCUUGGUCCCCUCUUGAAGCGUUAACCAGGUUCUCCUUUCCCGGUAUCGUCACACUGCACUCAUAAUUCCAUGAGACAUUUUUGCUAUAUUUGUAGGGGAAGACUGCAGGUCUUUGGAUUAUGACCCUCGGUGGCACUUGUACUCUAGCUUCAUUAUUUUGGGGUCUCAAAAUGAUCACCACAGGAUAGUUAGAUGUUCGAUUCUGUACCGUCGAUUCUUCCUCCGAUGCGUAUAUAUCUCCCUCUACAGGGUUUUUGGCUUCUUCAUAAAACUCAAUUUCCUUAUUGUUCAUCAUGUUUUGCACUAAGGCUUUGAACUCCACGCAAUCUUGGAUUUCAUGCCCCACCUCAUCGUGAAACUCACAGUAGUUUCUCUCUUCUUCGGAUUCUUCCCUUGAAUCCAACGCGAUCAAUCCUCUCUUGGCCAUCUCCUUCCAUACCCGCCUCAACGGGGUCCUGACUUCUGCCACCUCAUACUUGGUCUUCUUAUUCCUACCUUCACUUAUCUCAUUCACUCAUUGGUCGAUAUGAUUAGGGAGUGGGUUUUCUGCUACAUUGGGUGUGGCUGGGUCGUCAAAUCUCACGAUCCCCAUCUUAAUAAGUCUUUCAAGUACUUUCUUAAACGCAGCGCAGUUUUCGAUAGAGUGCCCGGUGAUUCCUGCGUGGUAUUCACAUUGGGCGUUUGUGUCAUACCAUUUGGGAUACGGGGGCUGCAGUGGCUUCAGGUAGAAAGGAGACACCAUAUGAGCUUGAACAGGUUCUGGUACAACUCCCUAUACGUCAUGGGUAUAAGGGUGAAUUGUGGCCUUUCUGUGUUCUCCCUCGCGUUGGAUUCUUGUUUUACAGAGCUUUGCUGAUUGGUGGUCACCGUCUUGGGUUGAUUUACGGUGAAUGACUUGGACUGACCCUUGUUGAAUGUGCUCGUGUUGUUUACUUCAUUGUCUCUUUUCCUCAGGGCUGACUUCCUGGUACUAUCCCUGAAUUCUAUCUUACCGCUCCUUAUAGAAUUUUCGAUAAUUUCCCCCGUCAUCACUAUGUCGGAGAAGCUCUUGGUGGCGCUUCCCAACAUAUGAGUGAUUAAAGGGGCUUUCAAGGUGUUGAUAAUGAGCAUUGUCGUCUCUUUUUCUAGAAGCAGCGGCUGAACUUGUAUGGCCACUUCUCUCCACCUUUGUGCAUACUGUCUGAAGCGUUUAUUUGACUUUUUCUCCAUAUUCUGGAGAGUGAUUCUGUCGGAGGUCAUGUCCGUCACGUGGUUGUAUUGUUUCAUAAAGGCCUGAGCCAGGUCCUUCCAUGAGUUAAUUUUAGAGCGGCUUAAUUGGUUAUACCAUUUAGACACUGCCCCGACCAGACUAUCUUGAAAGUAAUGGAUCAAUAGCUGGUCGUUGUUAACAUAUCCCGUCAUUCGCCUGCAGAACAUAGUGAUGUGGGCUUCAGGGCAGCUUGUUCUAUUGUAUUUCUCGAACUCGGGCAUUUUGAAUUUGGGGGGAAGGACUAAAUCUGGGACCAAAUUCAAGUCCUUGGCAUCAAUCCCUUGAUGAUGAUCCGCGCUCUCCAUGACUUUGAAUUUCUCCUUAAGCCAUCUACAUCGUUCUUCCAAUAGUUUUUACGAAUCUGCACUCGCCUUUUCUUCUUCAGCAACUUCAUCCAAAUCGGGAACGGGCGGAUAGUUUGGGUUGUUGACAAAGUUAGAGCCUGAGCCGGCUUGGAAGUUAUUGCUGGGGUAUGAUUGUGACAGAUGGUUUUUGUAGGUUAAUCUCGGGAUUCAUCAGUAUAUACAUCGGAGUAAAGCCAAGGGGUAUUGGAGAUCCUCAUUAAUUUCUUCAACUUUGUCCAUGGGGCUCUUUCCCUUAUACAUUCCUCCCAACAGCAAUUUGGACAACUGGGACAUCAUUUCUCUCUGGGACUCCAUCAUUUGUUCAUUCAUCUCUAGCUGAAUCUUGGCUAGUUGCUAUUGCAUCUGAGGCUACAUUUGUUCUUGCAUGUCCUUUUGCAUUUGCUCUAAUUUCUCAAGUCUCUUAUCUAUUGAUUUUUUUUGUACCGUAGGGGUGCGUGGUUGGUUGGUUUUCGUUAGUUUCCAGGUUACUGAAAUAAUUUUUAAUUAAUUAAUUAGAAAACUCUUAUGGCCAUUAAUGCAUAAUGAUAUGAUGUAAUGAAAAUGCAUGAAUGCAAAUGAGGCAUCAAUUUUGAUUCAAUUGCCCUUAGAAAAUUUCACUUGAAAAUAAAAUCUUUUUACAUAAAGUUGAGUUACAAAUAAAAUUUCGCUCUAAUACUCAAAGUCCUAAUUUUUCUAAACAACGGGCUAGCUCUUGUCUACGAUCCAAUUCCAACUCAUACUUCACGCUCAGUGUGUUCGCCUGAACCACUAAAGUUUGCAAGUAGUCUGCUACCUCCCGAAUCUGGGCUAUGGCUUCCCUCAUAAGGUAAUCUCUAUUUCUGACUUGGUCUUGCGCAUGGUGAAGCUGUUCUUUCCAACGAUCUUUGUUUGCCUCGAAAAACUGGAUCCGCAUCUCACAGUUUUGCAGUGACGCCUCUAACUCUUCUAUUUUUCCUUUCAUUUCUUCUAUCUUGCUCAAGCUUGCUCUCAAUUCCAUUGCAGUGUUGCGGUUUCGGUACUGAUGCAGAGACUUCUCAAGUUCUGCCACUCUAGCCCUUAAUUCACCUCGCUCAUUUCUGCUCUUCGACAGACUAUUCUCCAAAUCUUCGUUUCGUGUCUGAGCUUCUCGGAAUUUUCUUUCCCACCAGUCGGUAUUGGCUUUUUCUUCUUGAAUUUCAUGGCGCCAUUGUUCGGAAGUCUUACCUAAACCUGCAGUCCUCAUAGAUAGGCGUAGCUUCUUGUAGUCCGUCUUCAAGUUGUCUAGAUCUUCUUCGGCCUUAGUUUUUCCUUUUCUCCACUUCUUAGCCUCUGACCUCUGAACAUCAGCAUCUAACCUUAAGUGCAUCUUCUCUUCCUCCAAUUGUUCGAUCUUCUUCCCAAGCUCCAAAAUCUUCUUCUCGAAGUCUUGUUUUAUAAUUUCCAAUUCUGAUAGGGCGACUCGUAAUUGUUCUUCGAUAGGUCGAGCAUUCUCCAAGCUUGGCCUAAGAAUAUUAUCAUUAACCCUCUUCUUAAACCACUCGUUAUACUCAGGCGUUACCAUGGAACCGAUGGCUAACCUCUUCAUCCAACAAGUUUACUUUCAAGCAUUCGAUAACUCCCGAACUCUCUUCUUAUAGUGAGCACUUUUAAACGAGAAAUCACUCUGAGCAAAUCCAUAGGUCGCGGGUACAAACUACCUCAACUUAUAUUGCCUCAAGGCUAGCAAUGGAGUAUACCCUGUAGCUCCCCAAAUCCCUAACAAUGGCACCCAAUCGAAGUUACCACAUCGGUACAUGAUCUCGUCAGGAACCAUCCAAUAAGCUCUCCACUCGAUAUCCCCCUCCUUGAGGUUCUGAAGAAUAUCCAUCCACUUCUCUUUCGAGAUAUCCUCUCUCCUUUGUAUAGCUACCUCUUCUUUUAACGAAGAAUAACCCUCAGAAAAGACCCGAUAGGGAACCUUGUCUACCUUCCAAAAGUGCUCGCGAAACCAUGCCAUCAAUAAUUGUGCACAUCCAAUGAACCGUCCUUCACCCAUCCUCUGACAUGAGCUCAAAGAUCUGAAUGUUUCUGCCAAUAUUGCCAGUACCGGUGUGAUUCCCUUCUCAAGGCGAUCGAAUAAAUCAAUGACUGCUUUGUCCACGUGCCUCAAAGCCUUGGGAAAAAUUACCAACCCGUAGAGGCUUAAGGCAAAGAGGUCGACCCUCUUUCUUUCGUCUGGAUGCGUCAAGAUCAAAUCUCACAAAUUCUCCCAAGGGAUACAUUUGCUAUCUCCUUUUCGCUAAAUCCGUGCGGUGACCCAAGGCUCCCUUAUCCCAGAAAUGCUCAUCCGAAAGUCUGACUACUAAAAACCCGGGCAUAAGUCUUCCGGACCUGAAUUUUUGGACACCUGAGCAAAGUAGUGUAUUCCUCCAUGGUAGGUACCAAAUCCACUUCUCCAAAAGUGAAACACUUGUACGCAGAAUUCCAAAACUGCACCAAGGCUCAGAACAAAUGCUUAUCCACUCUAAUGUCUAGUAGGUAGGAUAUGUCACCAUAGCUUUGGUAAAACAACUACUUGAUCCCUUCAUCCCAACUAGCCCAAAUGCCUCUCAACUCUUGCAGCUCAUUCUGUACUACGUUGACGCAAGUGAAAUCCUACAGCUCCGAUACAUACCCUUCUGCCAAGCUAUCCCCUCUCUCUAAUUGUAGCCUUUCCGAACAUGCACGAAUGGCCGCAUUAUCCUCGAUUUUACUAAGAAAUUCAUUCUCCAUGUCAAACUUUCUAACUUAGUAAUUGAAUACGGAUUAACACCUCCUUUAGUAUGCAAUGUCAUGCAAAAAAAAUCAAAACAAAACACAGGUUAGUAUCACAUGAUAAUGAUAAAAUGCAAGCACAUAAACGAUAAUCGCAACGCAUAUACGGGUAAGUACUAAGGCUCGACGCGGCUCCACCCAAGGAUAGCUCUUAAGGUUCACUAUAUGUGGUUUAGUUCUAGGGAUAAGGUACCUGAACCAGCAGAUUCA